UUCUUUCUUUCUUUUUUUUUUUUUUUUUUUGUAAAGUUUUCCAUGUAUUUGGAGAGUUUGAGUUACGUGUCGGAUAUGAGUGUCCAGCAUGGAUAUUUCAAGCAAAACGAAGAGUCAAAGCAACAUAGUCAAGCCAUAUCCGACUCUAUCCCCGAAUCUGAGUAGCAUCAGCACAGAUAAGUGAAUAAAGACCUCGCAAGCACUAGUACUUCAGCUUUAACAGCAUGGAGACGUGAAUUAGUAUAAGCAGAAGCUGAUUUAAUCAACUUCAACUUCCAAAUGAGAGUCUCCGUUGGUAAAAUAUCAGCCAAACCCUGAAAAUAAAGCAAGGAAAAGUAGCAUUACAUGCAAUGCAACAAAUGUCAGGAAAAAUAAAUGAUAAAUCCAAUAAUUCUUACAGAAUAAAACGGAAGCAAAGCAGUGAGGUUGCUAGAAAUUCGCUCAAUUUUCUGUGUGGGAAGAAGCCUACCUUCAACACCUACUUCUGCCAUUUUCAAUGGUUCCCCUGAUCUCAUUAAAACAAAAGCUGUAAUCUGAAUCAAGUGAUUUCAAACUAGCUAAAAUUGCCAAUGUUGGUGAUACAUUCAGACUUUGUGUAACAGUCGAACCUGAAUGGAACAAAACUGAGCUUUUUGUAAUAGGACAGUGGUUAUAUAUGAUGUCAGUAGGGAGUCAUGGUCUUAGGGCCAUGGAUUUCCUAUUGCCUAUGUAUUAGUGUUCUACUCGAUAUAAGUAUCCACUCCAUUUAUAAAGCUUUUGUAGAACACUGGAACCUAAAUUGAACAAAUCUAAGCGUGCUGUAACUGACCAAUGGUUAUCUUACAUAUGAUGCGUGCAGGGAGCCGUGGUCUUGGAGCCAUGAAUUUCACAUCUGCUAUGUAUUAGAGUUCGACUCGAUAUAUAAGUAUCCAUUCUAUUUUUAAUAUGUGAGACAUCUUUUCUAUACAAAAUCAUGAGGUCUAAUGGGUCCAAAUGGAACCUUACAGGUUGUUAUAGAUGGUGAUUUAAUAUAGCAUGCCACUGCAAGCACUUACCAAUCACAAGGCUCAAAAGAAAGGGGAUAGUUCUAACGUGUAGUCCAUCAGGGAAAGCUUCCAGUAUAGGGAGAAAUGGUUGCAGCCGAGACCUGCCUAGUGAUGUAGCUAAAAUGAAAUGAAAAACAAAAGAAUCCAUCAGGUUCACCUCGGCAUUUCAGCAACAGAGUUCAGUUCACAACGAUUUUAAGAAUACUUGAUGAAAAAAGAGCAGAAAAAAGGACACUUCUGUAUGAAAACUGACCUGGAUUUACUAAUAUUAUCACAAAGUCAAUACUGGGAUUACGAGCAGCAACAGCAAGGGCUAAGCAUCCUCCAAUGGAAUCUCCCACUAAAUAGAUUGGACAAUUCAGACGUGAAGCAUGCUCAAGUCUAACGGUUUCUUCAACUAGUUUCACCAGUCCUUCAUAUUCAAAAGAAUAAUGUUGAUUUUUUGUUUACAAAAGAUGCAUAGCGAUUAAAAAUAAUGCACUAAAUAUGGGGAUUUGCCAACACGGGUAUAUUUAAAUUUUUUAAGAAAAAUGAACCGGACCAACAUAGUUAUAAACAAAGUGAAUAAGCACUCAUGCAACUCAAAAAAACCUUCAAGCUUAGGGCAUCAUUCAAAUGCACCUUCAACUUGGAUAAAACUUAUAAAUAAGUCAAGAAAGAUCUUGAAAGACAAAAACCUUCAAAUGGUGUUCGAUCAUGGACUGGAAUAUGAAGGCAUUGAACUUCAAAAACCCUGCAGUACUCAACCAAAAUCUUCAGUAGAAAUUGUUACAUUUCCAAUAGAACAACUAUUAACAUAAUGCCAGAGGUGAAUAUGAGUCAGUAUAAUGUGACAGGAAAGAACUGAAAACAAUGAAAACAAUUUCAAGACAGUAUUUUUUCAGGAAAAUGAGUAAGUUAACCCCAUUUAAAUUAAAUUUUCAGCAAGGAAGCUAUGAACUGAUUUGCCUCUGCUGUAAUUCCUGAAAAAUUAGUUUGAACUAACCUUGAUUGCUACCAUUGGAAGGAAAUAUAUAGAAUUUGUCAGCCAAAAAAAUUAAGGGAAAAUUGGUCAUAAGUAUUUAAGGGAGAUAAAACAACUUACUUUCCAAGAGGUUUAUGGUGCAAAAUGAGGCCCAUCCCAACACCAUCAAGCCCUACAUGCAUCAGAAUUCAGAAACAAAAGAAGGAAAAAUACUAGUUUAAAUCAGUAAACUUAAAGUAUUCAUGGAUCUUGGUAUAAAAUUUUGAAGGGCCAAUUAUAAGUCGUAAAUCUAUAUAUUUUAAUUAAAAUAUUUUAUUAUGUUUUUAUCAAUGUGAAAACAUAUAUGUUAGUACUAUACUAAGAAAUCAUAAAACUUUAGGAAUCUAACUUGUGAUUUUGAAAACCAAAUUAUCCAAAAAAAAAAAUUCAUAUUUAAAAUUUGUUGCACAUUUUUUAACAAUAAUUUAAUAAAUAUCAAUUUCAUAAUAGUAGCAAAAGCAUCUUAACUUGCAGAAGCAUAAACUAUAAAAAGCAUACAGGGACAUCAAAGGUAUUAAAAUUCAUUUAUGACAAACCAAACCAAGUAAUUUGAAGAGUUUAUAAAUAAUGAUUGGUGAUAAAAUGAAAAGGUAAAUAAUUAAUCUUUUCUAAUUAGUCAACUCCAUUCACCCAUCAACCGGGAAAUAUUAAAUUUUUGAAAAACUAAGAAAAAGUAAUAAACACUGAACUUACCAGGUAAAAACAGAAGAAGAGGAGAAUCUUUAAUAGGACGGCCACAUUCAACAGGGCAAAACCACCUUGGUGGUCCACCAUCAGGCUUGAUCAUGUCCUUUGCAGCAUCCACAUAAUCUUUCACAGUAUUAGUUCCAUAACCAUCAUCCCACAAUAGUUCCAACUCUUCACAACCCAUUCUUUUCUCAGUUCUAGACUUUAAACUCCCAUUCCCACCAUCAACCAAAUACCCUUUUCCAACUACUACAGGAACUGUUGUUUCCUUGACGGAGACCCCAUCAGUUGACACUACUGACAACUCGUUACCAUCUAAUCUCUCAGCUCUCACUCUAAAACGAGGCUUCUUAUUUAUCCCAAAACGGUGCCAUACCGGGCAAGUAACAGCACCAGCCAUCACUCUCCUACUAAAACUGCAAUAUACUUUAUAACCUUUAAACACAAAUAUCUACAGUUCUACACUUGAUAAACUUAUUGCAGCCUUUCUUCAAACACCAAAAAUGCCAGGUUGUCCAUAAAAUCGAGCAACUUCAAACUCAAUGGGAACAACUUGCCAAAAGAACUUGUUGGAACCCUUUUUCAAGCAGAAGAAACAACAAGUAUAAUGUUGCCUAAAACCCUCUAACUGAAACAUGUCACACUUUUUAUACCAAAUAUGUAUUUUAAUAUAAAUAUAAGAAGAAAGUAGAGUACAAGAAUGAAAUUUGGUGCAAACACCCAUAUAACAAAACAUGGUUAAUUUUACACUUUACUGUUUCAUAUAUUUCUAUAGUUUAUUGUCAAAAAAUCAUGGAAUGACAGCAAAAAUGUUUUAAGUUCAUAGAAUUUUUAUCUUCUUUUUACAGGAUGUAAAGAUAUUGUUCUUUUUUUAAUAAAAAAAUCCCCCAAAUUUCCAUUAACUUCCACUGGUUUAGCCAUGAAUAAUUACUGUAUCAAUACACUCAUUUGGAUGGUGUGUUUAACAGUUAUAUUUUCAUAAAGAUGUACAAAAGAAAAAGGGAAGAAAUGGCGGGUUUUGGUAGUUGUUGGUAACGGUAAAUUAAGAUGGGAGUUUCUAGACAAAAUCUAUAGGAAUCAAAUCUUUAAAUUUGUAUAUUGAUAAUCAACAUGAUUUACAUUAUUACUGCUCAAGAAAUUAAUUCCGAAACAUAUUAUGUGAAUUAUCAGUAUCUAUUAAAAUAUUAAUAAUAAAAAUUAUACUUUUUAUGAAUAACAAGAAAUUUUUCUAAUAUUUUUAUUCCUAACAAAUAUUACUCAUUCGAUUUGUUUUUUGGUAAAUUCCAAGAAGAAGGAAAAAUCAUAACAGUAAUGCCUUUAACAAAUUAUAUAUGAACUCUAACAAAUUUUUUAAUUCUUAGAUUCGAGUUCUCCAUUUACUUGUGCCUAAAUUAGCGUGAUAUAUUUGAUUGCUAACAGUUUUUCUUAAAAUUAUUUUACAAAUAUUUCUUAAUUAUUAAUGCUAAAUUUUAAGCACAUAUUUUUUAAUUUAUAUUUAAUUUAAUUAUUCUCAUAACAUAAUUAUAAAUUAAUAAUCAAUGUUAACUUGGUUACAUAGAUAUAAUAUUUUUUUUUGAUAGAAGAUAUAAUAAACUUAAAUAUCUUUAAUAUAUACAAUUAUUAUCAUUAUUUUAUAAAUAAUACAACUAAAAUAAAAAAUUAAUCGUAUCGUAUGGCUUUCUAUAUUUAUUAAAUAUUUUCAAUUAAAAGAUGAAAAUGAUUAUAAUAUUUUCUUUUAAAUAUUCUUGUGCUUAAUGAAUGAAUAGUUUAUACUAUAAAUGCUUCUACAAAUAAUCCUUCACCAAAUAUGCACAAUAAUUAAAAAAAUUAAUAUAAGUAAGAAAUAUACACAUUCCCACAUGUUUUUAAAUCUCAUAAUAAUGAGAAAACAAAAAAAAAAAAAAUUCUUCUCUCACACUAUUAAAUUUUUUUUCCAUCUUUAUAUACAUUUAUAGAAACAACACCAUGAAUUUCAUUUUUUUCUCCGGCUUGCAUACAUUUGAAAAUUUAAUUUUUUUUAUAAAUAGAUUAUUUUAGUUUAUUAAACUUUCAAAGCACAAAUAUAAAUUGAUAAAAAAUUGUAGUCCAUAAUCUAAGCGCUUCAAAAUAUCUUAAUUCUCUCACGCUAGAAAAGACCAUUACUUUCUCACUAAUGAAAAUUAAAGGAUAACAUGGUAAUAAACAUUUUGUAGAUUUUUUGCUACCAAUAAAUUUUUUUAUAAGUUUUAGGUAUUUAAAAAGAUUUUAUUUUAAAAAAUUAUGAUUUUUAGCAACUUAAAAGUGGAGGUUUAAGCUUAAUAAUAAUAAGUGUUAUGUAAUAACUGAUUUAAAAAAAAUGUUUUAUGGUUAAAAAUUAGUUUUCACAUGAAUCUUAAUAUAUUUUAUUUACACAAAUUAUAUUGAAUUUUUAAUAUAAAAUAUUACAUGUACACAAUCAACCUAUGCAUCGCAUGAAAAUACAAAUUAAUUAAUAUUUUGUUAAUUAUUUUUAAACAUCAAUCUUAAUUUUUCAUUUAAUCAAUUUAUAUAAUAACUUUUUAAAUAAGAUAUUUAAUCGUCUUAAAUCCUCGAAACUUAUUCCAUUGUUCCAUGCUCAGACUUUGAUCAAUAUGACUUUUUUCAACUCAUAGAUAAAGUACGUGGACAUGCAUACACGGAUAUAUUAUACAUGAAUAUUUAUACUAGAUAUAAACUUGCAAACUUGAUCCCAUAUUCAAAAUGCUUUGCGCUGCUUCACUCGUGAACCAUCAGAGAGAGUGGUGUUGCACACCAAACACCAGUUUCCAGCUACACUAACACUUCGUUAAAUGGGAAGAAUUUUCUUUUGUGAUUCAAGCCGGUAAAAGUAUUAUAGAAGUCCAGAUUGCAUUUUGAAUCUACUCAAAAUAUAGGUAAAUUAAUUCAUUUGCAUUAAAUCAAAAAGUAAAUUGAUGAAACAUUCCCACAGUUAAAAACUGAUCUUUGUAUGCCGGUAUGAGAUACCCGUACUAUACCACACGUCACUGUCUGAUUAUUCUGUCAACCACUUCAUUUUUUAACAAUAAAAAAUGAUGUAUUUUUUUUUAUAGAAAUUACCAAUUUACUUUUAUUUAUUUAUUUAACAUAUAAGGACUAAUUUGACGAAUUUUUUAGUGAAAGAGACAAAAUACAAUCUUACUUUUAAUACAGAGACCUCCAUGAUAUUUUUGCCCAUUCAAACUCAAACUCCCAAGUGAAUAUUAGAUAUGGGUAUAUGUAAGCAAAGAGUAUAAUAUUUCUUUUUCAAGUCGUUUCUUGUAUUUGAAUAUACAAAAGUGAAGUGCUGGAAAUGAAUACUUCCGCCUUGGUCCAUAAGAAAAACAUCAGCUCCAAAACUUCAUCUAAAUUUCACAAUUAAACACAAGGACCCAGAAUUUAUAAACAAUGCAAAAACCAGAAAGUACAGACCAAAUCAUAGAUGGCACCUCCUAAAGGCAACAUAAUGAACAAACUAAACUAAGAUGUGAGUUCAGAAUACUCUUAAAAUCACUUAAAAGCAGCAAACAACUCCUUAAAUAAACAUAGUAUCAAUUUCCCAAAGUAUCAACUCGUAGAUAAGCAUGAAAUACGACUCAAAAAUCUAACCGGCUACUGUAACUAACCCGGUGCAGCAAUUAUGAUUUCGUUUCUUGCCUCCGGAAACUACUGAAAGAUUGACAAGGUGUUAAAGCGAUAUUUUCCAGAAACAAGACUGAUUAUGCAAUUUGUCUUAUUUCUGGGAAUUAAAAAGUAAAAGAUAAAAAACUUCAAAAUAGUUUCUAUGGAUAAAAAACUUCAUAAUAGGUGCCUGAUCUUUUGUCCUAGAAAGCACCUUUUUUUUGGCUAAUUGUCCCCGGAGUUAUGAACACUUCUGCCGCUUGCAUUUCAAUCCUAGAGCUUCUUUCUCUCUUUCACCUGAUGAAUGGCAAGAACAUCUUGACUAGACAAAGACGAAAGGUUUAUGUACCUCGAUCCACUUGACUAUGUAUGGAGAAAUGCUCCAAUAUAAGAAAAAAAAUCAUCUUUCGAUAUAUACAUGUGUAUAAAUAAGGAUCCCAUACACUUCUGGCCAUGAUAGGCAACCUCAGAUGAAUAAUAUGAUUCUCAACACUUUACAAAAGGCAUGAGCUUUCCACUUGAAAUACUGAGACCAACCUGCAGCCUGAUAGAUAUACGAUAGAAUACAGUUCAAACACUAGUUAAACAGAGAGCCUGCCAUGGAUAAUGGGCAAAUAUUCUCAAAGAGAAACUAUAUGAUGUUAAUCCACGGAUCAAAAUGAAGAUACAAUGAUUCCAUUUUAAAUUGACAGAAUUAACAGGGAAGAAUUGAAUUAUCAGCAGGCUUCCUCUCAAAAAAUCGAAUUACCCUCCCCCUUUUUCUUUCCAAAACCAAAAUGAAAUAAAACAUAAAACAAAGUGAUACAAGUUUCCCGCUUUUAUCAUAUGACAAAUAGUGUUCCCUGAAGAAUAUACAUCAAUGUGUGUUAUUCUGUAAAGAGUAAUAUAGGUCACUUAACUAACAUGUAUAAGUCGCAGCUGACUCUCAGAAUCAACAAAUCACCUGCCUUGAAUAACUCUAUAAUUAAGUACCAAAUCCUCGGGUUUCUUCCAUAUAUAAGCCCGUACAGUAGGUAAGCUCAUAUCAGGAGAUAAUACCUGGAACAGAUAGUAAACAGAUAAAAAAAAGGGGCCAGCAUACUGUGAUUGAACUUGAACUAACAAGUUGGUCUAAAAUUAUUUUUCUAUGUUUAUUUCAAAUUCCACAGAUUGAAAUAUUGGUAAGAGAAAAUGAGGAAAAAGUCACACAACUUUGACAGAUAUGCUCUUAGCCAAUGGCAUUUUAGCAUUCAACAAGCAAUUGACUUGCCUGAUUAUUGCAUAAAAUCUCAACAGAAGGCCGAAGCUUUUGCCGUGGCUUCAAUCCAGACCGAAAAGAUCCAUCUCCAACUGCCGAAUGCUGCAAUUGUCCUCCAAUUCCAGGAGCAAAUGUUCCGACGGUAUUUAAAUUAUCAAUUGGUUUGUCAAGCACCAUCUUUUCUUUGACAUAAUUAAUAACCUACAAAACCACAACAGAGUGAAUGUAGUCUCAUCAAUAUACUGUAUAUGCGCCCUAAAAUAACAUUUUUAAUAACCUAACAGUGUUCGGACCCUUAUUCCUUCUGUGCUCCGAAAUAUGAAUUUAUUCUAGAGUAUUUACCCGAGUGAUCUAAAUCAGUAUAAUAACGGCAUUUGCUACCUUGCACAAUCAAUUUCCAUGCAAAAGAAAUUGUCUUUUGCAAGUACUACAGAAAACCAAAUAGACCUACCUUUUGUGUUCUCAAUAUACGCGGUGCACUCAACUUCCCCUGUGUGAGGAUCUGAACAGCUGAACCUUCACAUGGAUGAAGGUAGAAGCUGCACCUGAAAAAAUGAAAAGGGAAUUCAUCAAGAGAGAGAAAGGACUGAAAGACACCCUAGUGAACACCGGAAAAAUAAAAUAUGGGGAAACGAAGGGAUAUUGACUUGUAUUUAGUAAAAAUACUAUCAAUAAUGCUCAUUAUUAGGGUCUGAUAUCAUGCUUUGUGAUAGUUUCUUGUUUUUACGAUUUUAGCAAGAUUAAAUAGAGGCUAUUAUAACUAAUAAAAAGUAUGGAAAAGAAUAAAGUUUUUUUCUCAAAAAUUCUCUCCCUUCCUUGGCAAAUUCUUUUUCUGCCAAAAUUUCUCUUUCUCUGCAAAGCAUAAGAUCUUAUUCUAAACCAUUCCUAAAAAAGGGGGGGGGGAUGAAGCCUCUCAAAUCAGCCAUGGCAAGAAGAAGAGGUACCAUCCUACUUGAGAACCUCCACAACAUAAAAAUAUACUUAUAUGAGUGCUCCCAAUGCUUGACACGAGAAAACCAGUGUGUGGAUUCUGGAUUCAGGGGCAUCAGAUCAUGUGAGAUGUGACAGUGUUUCAUAAAUAUAAUCCAUGUCGUGAUAAUGGUGGAAAGUGCUGAUGGGUCUCUUUAAGGUGGCUGGUACAAGUUCAGUUAUUAACUCAAGGAUAUAACCCUUGAUUCAAUAGCAUUUGGGCCAAAUUUUGAUUGCAUUAUGCUAGCCAUACAUAAGAUUACAAGAGACCCUAAUUGUGUUGCUAAAUUACUCCCAAAAUGUGUGAAUUUCGAGUCUUGGACUCGAGGAAGACAAUAGGCUAUGCUAGGAUGUGGAUGGGCCUCUACCUUCUCAAAGUUGAUGUGCCAAAAAGGCAAUCUCAAAAACCAACUUGUGCGGCUUCAUCAGCUUAUAUCAACAAGGGAUGGAGCAAUAAUUUUGUGGCAUUACCGAUUAGGUUAUUUGAAUUUCAAGUAUCUAGAAAAAAGGUAUCUCAAUCACUCAACAAAAAUAUGCUCCAGAUCUAUUGAAAGAAACAUGGAGGCUUAGGUGCAAACCAACAGACACCUUCAUGGAUCUUGCUAACAAGAUGGAAAUAGAGUAUGGAUCAUAUUUGAUCCAAUUGAGAAGCUUCUAGAACCUAUGGAUCAUAUCCUUAAAUAUCUAAAUGGAAGUCCUAGCAAAAGAACAUACUCAAGAAAAUAUCAAACAGAGAUGUCAAACAUACACAGAUGCUGAUUGGGCUAGUUCCAUGAUAGACUGAAGAUCAACCACCUAUUGUGACACUUUUUCUAUAGGGAGCCUGACUACAUAAAAAAACCAAGAAGUAAUCUGUCACAGCCACAAACAAUAGAAAAGCUGAAUUUAAAACAUUGUCACAUGGCAUUUGUGAGUGAAUGUGGUUAGAACAAAUGUUGAAUGUAUUAAAUAUAUCUACAGGAAAUUCCAUGAAACUUUAAAAUGAUAAUAAGCCAAUAAUAAGCAUUGCCAAAAACCCCAUUCACCAUGAUCGAACUGAACACGUGAAGAUCGAACGCCACUUCAUCAAAGAGAAGAUUAAAAAAAAAAAGAAGAAUUCUUAGACUAGUUGAUAUUGAACCUUUUGAGAAUCACACCCCAAAAGCUAGCUAUUAAGGUUGGAGAGCCUACAUACAUAUAAACCCCAUAAGGAAUUCUCAUACAUCCCUAUGUGGGAUCCAAAUUCAAACCUUACAAUUCCGUACAUAUCAAUCCACCAAGCUCCGCAAUUCCAAUCCCUACAUGGAUUAGCUUUGUGCUAGCUUAUUCUAGCCUCAGGCCUACACUACACUACCAAUGUCACCAUCUAUCACAUUAUUGCAAUUAAAAGGCGUGAGGACUAGCUAAGUCUCAUACCAAUUAGUAUGAGCCUUUGGAGAACCACACCCAAAAGCUAGUGAUUGAAAUUAGAGAGCCUAUGUCCAUUUAAACCCUACUAGAAAAUCCCACACUUUGCCCCACAGCUUGCAGUUGAGUACAUAUCACUAGUCUAUAUAUUUCCGUGCCACCAAACUGGAAAUGGCAUUAUGUUGAAAUAUUUUUGAGAACUUUAAGUCCAAGCUGGACGUGAUAAAUAUUUUUGAGAACAGGCUUUUUCUAUUCCGUCUUAUUCAUAAGAAAUUACAUAAAUAUUUAUACACAUAGUAAGCCUAACUUAGGAAACUCUAUACUAGGAAAUAGACUAACUCUAGGGAUGCUGUCUAAAAAAAACAGCCUUAAAGUUAGGGAUAGUAAUCAGUAAAAUAUUUACAGAAUCCUAUCUGAUAUACUUAAAUAUUCCUUAAUUAGUAAACUGUAAUCUGACACUCCCCCUCAAGCUGGGAAGUGGAUAUCAUCCAUUCUCAGCUUGCUUACUAGUUUUUGAAACAACUUUCCAGACAACCCUUUGGUAAGUAUGUCUGCUAGUUGACCAUCAGUGGACACAAAUGGAGUGCAAAUUAAGCCACUGUCCAGUUUUUCCUUUAUAAAAUGUCUGUCAACCUCAACGUGCUUCGUACGAUCAUGUUGAACUGGAUUAUGUGCAAUAUUGAUAGCAGACUUAUUAUCACAAUACAACUUCAUUGGACCUUCCCACUUGAACUUCAAAUCUUCCAAAAUAAUUUUUAGCCAUAAUAGCUCACAAAUUCCAAGAGCCAUCGCCCUAAAUUCAGCUUCUGCACUAGAUCUAGCCACAACAUUCUGUUUUUUACUCCUCCAAGUCACAAGAUUGCCUCCUAGGAAAGUGCAAUAGCCCGAGGUUGAUCUUCUAUCAACCAUAGACCUUGCAUAAUCUGUAUCAGUAUAAGCUUCAAGGGUUAAAUUCUCCCCCUUUUUAAAUAGGAUUCCUUUACCUGGCGUGCCCUUUAAGUACUGUAGAAUUUGAUACACAGCUCUAAGAUGUGAUUCUUUGGGGUUGUGCAUAAACUGACUUACAACACCGACUGCAUAGGCAAUAUCCGGUCUGGUAUGAGACAAGUAAAUGAGCUUCCCCACAAGUCUUUGAUAUGAACUUUUAUCAACUGCUGCAUCUUCUAGUGCAUCUCCAAGUCUGUGAUUCACCUUUAUGGGUGUGUCUGCUGGUUUACAUCCCAACUUGUCUGUCUUUGUCAACAAAUCAACUAUGUAUUUUUGCUGAGAUAUGAAGAUUCCUUCCAGAGAGUGUGCCACUUCAAUACCAAGGAAAUAUUUUAACUUUCCGAGUUCUUUGACUUCAAAUUCUUUUACUAGGCAUUUCUUUAAAUUCUCCAUUCCUUCCAGGUCAUCACCAGUCACUAUAAUGUCAUCUACAUAGACUAAUAAAGCAGUCACUCCCCCUGAAGAUGAGUGUUUUACAAACAGAGUGUGAUCUCCUUAACUCUGUUUAUACCCCAACUUGAGCAUUACUGAUACGGGGUUGCGCGCGGACCAAGAUCGAGUUGCCAAGUCACGAGAAACUCCUACGAAAACCCUAAACAAUUAGAUCUAAAACGAAACAGAAAAUUAAAAUAUUAGAUUUUUGAAUUUUCAGAUCUGAAAUAAAAUCCCCAAAUCAGUAAAGAAUCAAAUUGAGAAUAGAAAUAAGUGUUAGGGUUCUUGAAACCAUCAAGGAGAUUGUGAUUCUGCCCAAUUGAACACCAAGAUAGUUUUCCCCAAAUUUCGACAAUCUAAUUUCACCAAAAAAGAGUAUGGAAAAACCCUAGAAAUUGGGGAUUUUUGGGCUGAUUCUUUAAGAUAGAAAAAGGCUGAAAACACAAUAAGAACAGAAAAUAGAUUAGAUAAUGAUUCAGCACAAGUAGAAAUAAAGAAAGAAUUGACAGUAAGAAAUUAAAAGAUAAGUCCUAAGAAGCCUUGAAAUCUCGAAAGGUCUCACAACUCCCUUCAAACGGCUCUAAUCUCCCCUCCAAAGAAUAUCAAUGGCAAGAAGAAGGUUGAAGAUGGCUCCCACAAUCACAAGAUUGUUAAAACAGCUUCUAAAGAAAACUCAAGAGAAAAAUCUUGGAGAAAACUCAAAAAAAUUCUACUCUCAACAAAUCUGAAAUUUUAAUAAUAAUGAUAAGUGUUUAACAAGGUGGACAGCCAUGCCUUUAAAUAGGCAUUAUAACUAGUCCUAAUCUAAUUAGAAAACUAAAAUAAAAAAAACUCCUAAUUAUUUUAAUAUGGAAAUUCGGUCAAAUGUUAUUUUAUCUAGGACUCUUGGACUGAAUAUUGACAUAAAAAUUUAAACUAAGUAAAUAAAUAAAUAAAUAAAUAAAAAUAAAACUUUACAACUUGGGCCACUUUGACAAUUUGGCCUGAUUUUCAACUAAGUAUGGAUGGAUUUCUUGAUUGGGCUUGGAAUCUUCUUAUUGGGCUCGCCUUCAAGAAUUUGGGCUUUUGUGACUCGUAUCAUUCCCCCUUCCUCAAAAAGAUUCGUCCUCGAAUCUGAAAAAUCAAAUGAACUCGACUUUCCUCUAUCGAACGGGACUAAUGGCAAUUGAGUCCACUGAGAAGAAUAGCCAUGAGAUAGUAAAUAGCAACGGAAACAAGCUUGUAGUCCAAUCAUAAGCAUAACAGAACACGUAUAACGCAUGUGAAUGGACAGAUUCAGAUUACCAUGCAAACAAUCUAAUUUACUCACCACUGCCUCGUCAAAUAUUUGAAACAAAGAUGGACAUGUUUUAAGGCAUUCAGUCGUCUCACAUUGUUCCCACAAACCAUGAAUAAAUUGCGAGUAAUAAAUCAAAUGGUAAACAUAAUCGUCACAAGUAGGUAUUUGAAAAGAUUCACAUGGUUCACAGAGUUGCAUAAUCAUACCAUGCAUUAAUCGACGGUCUAUAGAUUCACUCACACAUGCAUUAUCAAAAACAAGAAUCUUUUUAUCAACCAUCAAAACAGAUAGAUCAUCAAUAAAUAAAAUAGGACAGUCAAGCACGUUUCGAUCUAAGUGUUCAUCAACACGAUCUUUAUCAUUAUCCGAGGAGUACAAAAGUGUUUCAAAGGUGUCAAGCAUCUUACCUCGAUAAGCAGAAGAAUAAGGGUCGAUUUUACCUUUUUCAUUUAAAACAAACCUUCGCUCAUUGGGGGUAUAGUGUACUCGAAUCUUCGUUGUUGAGUUAACGUUUGUCAAAUGGAACUCAAACUUCAUGUACAACCACAUAAACUGUUUAAGGCACGAAUAUAAAUUGAAAACAAAUUUGGAAAAUUUCGUUACCUUAUUCUCCAAAACAGAUUUGGACAAAUUCAAGGAUUUUACAUAAGGUAAAUCAAGAGAAUAACAAAUCACGCUUCUUUUCGUAAUGACUUUAUCAACCACAAUCGAAGAGUAACAAUUAAUCAGAUCAAAAUGAGGAGAUCUUUUAAGAACUAAGUCACCAAAAGUUUUAUCAAUAAUUUUCAAAUCUGCACUGGACUCGGUUUCUAAAAUUUCCUUACCUCGCUUACCUUCGGGAUCAUGUAGUGUGAUUUCAUCUUUGCUUAAGUUGAUCGUAUGAAAGCGUCUUUCAUUUGAGAGGUAUUGAAGUUGAAAGUUAUCUUUCGAUCUUUCGGGAACCUGAAAAGUAGCAACACAAGAAAAAUUCAUAUCUUGGUUAGUGGAAACAUUCCUCACUACCCUUUCCACGUCUUUUUCUUUUGUUUCUUUUUCUAAUUCAUUUUCUCUUCUUUCUUCAAUUUCUUUUUCACUCUCAAUCUCUUUUUGCUCUUUUUCAUUCUCUUUUUCUUUUUUCUCACUUGUUUUAACAGAAUUUUUCAGUUUGAUUUGGUCCUCAUGGACUUGUUCCAGAGUGAGCGGCACUAAGGUGAGUUUCUUUCCUUGAUGCUUGAAAGAAUACCUAUUGGUACGACCAUCGUGAGUGACUUUUCGAUCCAGUUGCCACGGUUCUCCUAGCAACAAAUGGCAGGCUUGAAUAGGCAUUACGUCGCACACAACUUCGUCUUGAUACUUACCGAUAGAAAAGGCGAUGCGCACUUGUUGAGUGACCCUAAAUUGGCCUUCGUUGCUAAGCCCUUGUAGUUGAUAAGGUUGUGGAUGCUUGGUAGUGGUUAAGCAAAGCUUUUCCACCAUCGUCGUGCUGGCUAUGUUCGAGCAACUUUCACCAUCAAUAAUAACUCUACAAAGCUUACCUUGUACGUGGCAGCGAGUAUGAAAGAGAUGUUCUCGUUGCUGCUCGCUCUUUGGUUUUGCCAAAGAUGAUUCUCCAUGAUCAUGACAAUCAUCAUCCAUUCUAGGGACACGUUGAGGGUUGCACCUAUGGGGCUGGUUAUCCCUAUCUUCCUUAAUUGGAUCUCGAUAUUGAUGUUUUUGAUUCACUCGUACCUCAUUCAAAGUAGUAUUCAAUGCUUGAAGUGUAGCAUUUAUUUGUGUGAUUGCAGCAGUAUGUCUGUCUAACUGUUGUUGGACUUUCAUAAGUGCAUCAUUAUUAUCACCUUUAGACAUCUUCAAAACCUGUAAAAAAUAAACACUCAACACUCAAAAAUAAAAGUUAGCAAACCUCACCAUUAAUCACUCAAAAAGAAAAAUCAAAUUCUCAAUGAGGUCAAAUUCAAUCUUGUGAGUUCUUUAUCAGAGUUUAUAUCAACCAAUUAGAGAGUGUGAACCAAACUAUCAAAGAAUCCUAAUUUGCACUAGGAUGCCAAAAACUGACGAGACACCAAGUGAUUCGUGUUGCACCGAGGAAGGAUUGUGCACACGUUUAAAUCCUACUAACACAAGAAACAAGAAGGUGUUAGAUAUUUUAAAAGGAUAAUAAAAAGCAAACAAAUGAAAACCUACAGCUAAGAAUCAAUAAAAAUUGCUGAAAACAGAAAACCCGAAAAACUGUGGAGUAACUUGACAACUUCGUUCGAGGUGUUCCCGAUCUCAAAAAAUCACAAAAUUAAAUCUCGAAUGUCCUUAAAUAUUUAAUUUUUGAUCUGGAAAGUUUGGGCACCAAACUCAACCCGCUGAAUUUUUUUUAAAUUUUUAUUGGAUUUCGUCUUUUUUUCGAUUUUUUGACUUUUUUGACUGAUUUUUUUGCAGGAAUAAAUUUUUUAUAUUCAAUCACAGUGCCACAAAUAUGUAUGUAAAAUUUCAGAUCAAUUUGACAACGUUUACCCACUCAAAUAAAAUUUUUUUGAAAGAUUUUUCUGGGUAAAACUGCUGUUUUUGCUUUAAAAUAUUGAGAUCAGUUUAGAAAUCAACCAAGAACACCCAAAACGCCCAAAAUCUGAUACCAAAUGAUACGGGGUUGCGCACGGACCAAGAUCGAGUUGCCAAGUCACGGGAAACUCCUACGAAAACCCUAAACAAUUAGAUCUGAAACGAAACAGAAAAUUAAAAGAUUAGAUUUUUGAAUUUUCAGAUCUGAAAUAAAAUCCCCAAAUCAGUAAAGAAUCAAAUUGAGAAUAGAAAUAAGUGUUAGGGGUCUUGAAACCCUCAAGGAGAUUGUGAUUCUGCCCAAUUGAACACCAAGAUAGUUUUCCCCAAAUUUCGACAAUCUAAUUUCACCAAAAAAGAGUAUGGAAAAAUCCUAGAAAUUGAGGAUUUUUGGGCUGAUUCCUUAAGAUAGAAAAAGGCUGAAAACACAAUAAGAACAGAAAAUAGAUUAGAUAAUGAUUCAGCACAAGUAGAAAUAAAGAAAGAAUUGACAGUAAGAAAUUAAAAGAUAAGUCCUAAGAAGCCUUGAAAUCUCGAAAGGUCUCACAACUCCCUUCAAACGGCUCUAAUCUCCCCUCCAAAGAAUAUCAAUGGCAAGAAGAAGGUUGAAGAUGGCUCCCACAAUCACAAGAUUGUUAAAACAACUUCUAAAGAAAACUCAAGAGAAAAAUCUUGGAGAAAACUCAAAGAAAAUUCUGCUCUCAACAAAUCUGAAAUUUUAAUAAUAAUGAUAAGUGUUUAACAAGGUGGACAGCCAUGCCUUUAAAUAGGCAUUAUAACUAGUCCUAAUCUAAUUAGAAAACUAAAAUAAAAAAACUCCUAAUUAUUUUAAUAUGAAAAUUCGGUCAAAGGUCAUUUUAUCUGAAACUAUUGGACUGAAUAUUGACAUAAAAAUUUAAACUAACUAAAUAAAUAAAUAAAUAAAUAAAAAUAAAAAUAAAACUUUACAACUUGGGCCACUUUGACAAUUUGGCCUGAUUUUCAACUAAGUAUGGAUGGAUUUCUUGAUUGGGCUUGGAAUCUUCUUAUUGGGCCUCGCCUUCAAGAAUUUGGGCUUUUGUGACUCGUAUCAAUUACUUUGGUAAAUCUUCCAAACCAAGCCCUCGGGGACUGUUUUAGUCCGUACAAAGCCUUUUUUAGUCUGCAAACUACCUGUCCUGUAUUUGGACCGAAUCCUGGUGGAACAUCCAUAUAUACUUCCUCCUCAAGAUCACCAUGUAAAAAGGCGUUUAUGUCAAAUUGCUGUAAUUUCCAGCCUCGGUUGGCAGCUAGUGACAACAACACUCUCACAGUGUUCAUCCUCCUCGUAUUCUGUUCCUGAAAAAGACAUCGAUUGUGAUAGAAAACCACACUACAGUUAGAGUCUUUGGUAAUUCUUUGGAUGGAUAGAAGAUUGGUAAAUAGUUUUGGAACAUGAAGGACAUUUUUAAGAGUAAGGGUUUUGUUUAUAACAAUAUCACCCUGACCAACCACUGUGAUCACAGAACCAUCGACUACUGUUAUCUUUCUACUACUAGGACAAGGUGUAUAUGAAACAAAUUUUUGUGAGGAGUGGGUCAUGUGGUCUAUAGCUCCUGAGUCAAUGACCCAAGAACUUUUUGUGGGUAUAUCCGAGAUUUUAGAAUUUUGAGAAGAGAAUAUACCUGAAAAAACCAAACCACUAGUAGAUUCUUCAACUUCUCAAUUUCUUCUUUACUGAACUCAACAGAUGAUUCUUGAGAAUUCCCUUCUCCAAUGUUGCUGGUUUUGACAGUUUCAGCCAUGUUUCUUUUGAACAAAUUCUACAGGCUUGAGGGUUGAUCGGGAAUGAGAAGAAGUUGCCAGACAAAGAAAAAAAUCCCAGAAUUUGAGCUAAAAAAACGGCUCUAAUACCAUGUUAAGAACAGGCUUUUUCUAUUCCAUCUUAUUCAUAAGAAAUUACAUAAAUAUUUAUACACAUAGUAAGCCUAACUUAGGAAACUCUAUACUAGGAAACAGACUAACUCUAGGGAUGCUGUUUAAAAAAAACAGCCUUAAAGUUAGGGAUAGUAAUCAGUAAAAUAUUUACAGAAUCCUAUCUGAUACACUUAAAUAUUCCUUAAUUUGUAAACUGUAAUCUGACAAUAACCCAACGUGAGGGGAAGCGUGGGAAUCAAGGGACAUUGACUAGUAUUUAUAAAAAUCUUUUAGGAGCACUUAUGUUGAUUGAGGUUUGGUAAAGAUGUUUUUGUAAUAAUUUAUUUACUAGUGGUUGGUAAAGAUAAUUUAAGAGUAAUUGCUGCAUUUUAUAAUAAUCCCCAUUAUUAGAGCCAUAUCAAGCUUUGGAAUAGUUUUGGGUUUUUAGGGUUCAAUCAAAUAUAAAUAUAGGCUAUUGUAACUAAGAAAAAGUAAAAAUAAAAAUAAAAAUAUUUCUCUCUCAUAAUUUUUCAUUCUCUCCCUCGAGAAACUCUUUUUCUCCAAAAUUCUCUUUCUCAACAAAAUUCAUAUUAUCCACAUGGUUCUUGAUGUCGAGCGACAAUGUAUGGGAAGCACAUUUCCUUUUUCUAAAUCAAGAGAAAAGCAGAUGUCCACAAGAAAAGUAUCAAUAAAGGCUAUAACAAAACAAAAACAUAGAAAGCUAACACUUCCAAUUAAGUUCAUCUCUGUGUAGCAAGCCUAUUGACAAAAAGAAGUCGACCAAUAAGCAAAGGAAAGUUUAAUGAGGUUACAGAAGUUACUUGGUGUUCUCUCGUGAUGGGAGCUGAUUAUUCAAUACACAGUCCAAAACCCACCAUGGGAAGUCCUUCUCAUCCUCAAUACCAUCCAAUUCAGUAAUUUUCUUUCUCCAAGGACCUCCUUGAGAACCUUCAGUGAUAAUUGAAGGAGGGGAAACUGUAGACAACUCAAAAGGAGGAUAGACUGUGGAGUCAUUAAGAGCAUUUCCAUCCACCUCAAUUCUUGAAUGAGCAAGACUUCUUGGAGUAGUAUCUUUUCUUGAUAAAGCAUUUCCAUUAGCUGGAGUCUGCAAGCCAAGUCUUUGCCUUCUUUUGGUCAUCCAAUGAGCCAACAGACCUUUAAGGGUUUCCCGGCCUAGAUUAACCUGCCAAAGACAGUCAAAACCAGAUGAAUGCAAUAAUCACAGAUUUCUCACAUAUACUACAUCAAAAGAUUGCCACAAUCAAUGGAAAAACCUAAUACCUUAUCAUCCUCAGACUUGCCAGUUAUAUUCAGAUCAGCAGAAUACAUCUCUGCAGAAAAACAUUGGGGUGUGUCCAAAUGAACAGAGAAGCUUCCAAGUCGGGCAUCCAGAGUGAACCAUGAAGGGAUGCUUACCUAGAAUGGUUUUAAACAAAAAUCAAGAGUAAAUUCCAAAAAUAAAAUUGAAUUAUAUUGAAAUGACUUAACUUCAAAUAAAUAGUUACCGCACCAUCUCAAACAACUGCUCCUUUUUCUCAUCAAAUGAGACCUGGGCAUUGAAAUUAAAGAAAUAUAUAAAUGCAUACAACUAAAAACAUAACGGUGCAUGUACAAGUGCGUUUAUGUGCACCCAACCUGAAAGUGAAAGCAAAGGGCAAUCCACUUCUCUCAAGAAAGAAAGAUGGAAAAUGAGGAAGAAUCUAGUUCACCUGUCCAUAGUCCUCGAUCACAAUACCCUUGAUUAUAUCCCAGAGCUUUACUGAACCAGCAGUAUCCUGUUAAGGAAGCAUAAAUAUAAAAAAAUGGAACUAAAACCCAACAAAUAUAGGUACUGCUAAAUUUACCUUAGUCAACACAUCCCUUCUGUUAUUUAAAAUUUCAUGCUGAACUAUUGCUGGAGUUCCAGGAAUAGUAAAGAUUGGCUCUUUAUAAACAGGAGCCUGCCAAUACCCAAUAAUGUCUGAACAUCAGUAAAGGGAAAGGGAUAGACAAUCACUGCUACAACAAAUUCCACAGACAGCCAAACUUCAAAGAGAUAUCCAUUAAAAAAAUUAAUAAUAAACCAAAACAUUUCAUGGUUCAUGAAAGAAAGUCUAUUACUUGUUCUGUGUUUUCUAGAGGUUGGUUGAACAAGAAACAUAUGAAACAGAACCAUUAACAGCUCAGUGAGAAGCAUCAAAUUCACUAAAAUGCAAGUGUAUAAGCAGAGAUUUUUUAUGAUAAGUGAAGUGAUUUGCUGUAAUUUCAAACACAUAAACAUGAGUACAUACACAGACACUACACUUACUGGGGCUGUCCCUUCUAAACAAACUCUUGCCCUCGAGAAAGACAAGUUUCCAGCCAAGAAUGAACCACCUCUUUGAAAGACCUUCUGAGGAUUUUGUCCUUCAGCAGGCCAUCUAUGAAAUGAAGAAUCUGUUGUUGCAACCCAUAUACUAUCAUCAUCCAAUGCCAACUGCAAAAUUGGGUGUUCCUUUUUGCAAAGCAAUAUACUUUCUCUUGUUGUCAAGUCUGUCAAAUAUAACUGAUGUAGGUAGAAAAGUAAGCACAAGUCGUGAGUUGAAGCUAAAUGUUAGAGGUAGAAGACACGGAUGAGAGGAAUUGUCAAGAUCAAUAACCAAAAAGAUUUAGAUGUUUGGCCAUUAUUUGACAUCAUAAUGAUUUAGAAGUUAUUUAAGCUAAAACAGACAUUAUCAAGUCUUAACAUUAAAUUUCAUCCAGUUAAAGUUAAAAAGUUUUAUUUCGUUUGUUGGUUCAUUAAUUUGGUAAUUUUAACUUUUACAGGAAUUGAAAAUUUUGAUGGUAGGAAUCAUAUUUACUUGAGUUUUCCUUAUUAGGUUUUUAUUCAUUGUUUAGAUGAUGUAAUUUUACCAAGUCAAACUUGAAAGUCUCCUACUUUGCAUCACAUGUCUUUGUAUGAAUAUUAUUACUUGAACUCCAUAAAUUAGCAUGAUUAACUUCAUUCACUAAAAAACAAUUGUAUGAGAACUGCAGCAGCUGUUGUGCCAAUCCUUUCCCUAGUGCAAAGCUUAAGAAAUUCUAGAUGCGAAACCUAUACCUUAAUUCUUCUUCUUACUAUAUUACUUCAGGCAAUGGCUUCAAUCUUACACCAACCUUAAAUCCUUCUAACUCCACUCACGCAAAUUCAUUAUCAAAUUAAACCCUUAACCAUUAAAUUAACACCUGUGAGUACUGUUAACAGUAGCAGCAUAUCCCAAUCUAAAUCCCAUUACCAAAACUCGAAAGCAUCCCAAUCUAAAUCCCAUUACCAAAACUCGAAACCCCUAAUUAUUAUUGUAAUUUCCAAUCCUUUAGUCUAAAUCAAGCCUGAAAUAGUAAUCAGCCAUAACCCUACAUCAGCACAAAGUACUAGUCAAUUUUCAUAUCAAAACAUUAGCAAAAAAGAUAUACAUGUCCAUCAAAUAGGUUUGGCAUGAAUAUGUACUUACAGAAAGAUCUCUACCACCACUGUAAACAUGACCAAAUGUUGGGGUGCUUGCAAGUGCCCAAACAGAAUCUGUAUGCAGCGCAUAAGAGUGCACGCAACGUUGCUGACCAAGAUCCCAUAGCCUACAAAAUAGAAUUAGCCAUUUAAAAGGCAAUGCCUUAGAUUCUAUAUGGUCAAAAAUGGCAUGUGGUUAUAUAACAGCUAAACCAACAAAUUGUGUACCUGAUCAUAGAAUCAGAGGACCCAGAUAAACAAUAUCUGAAAGAAAACAAAAUAUCUGUCAAAAACAUCACUGGUUAAAUAAAUAGAGCAGAAGAGCAUGCAAUCAAAUAACAGAAUUCACCAGAAGAAAAUCAAGGGAAUGACCCAUCAUACAACAAUAAACUUCUAGAUAUGUCCAAAGAAAAUUAUUCAUUCCAAUUUCACUAGAAAGCCAUAUUGCAGUUGAAAACAAAUGCAGACAAGUACAUCUGAUCUGCAUAGAGGCAUAAGCCCAUAACAAGGUUCAGUUUCCUCAGUUCACCCACCCUCAUUGUUCUCGAAAUAGCAUCCAGGGACAAUUGGAAAUGCACCAAAAUUUUCCAAUCAACCAACCAGUUUAGGCCAGUACUAACUGUUCCGCAGUUGCAAGAUGAAUUAUCAGACAAAAAAAAUGCUUCUUGUAAUGCAUAAUAAAGCUCCAAAACUGUAAGGCCUCCAACUAACAUCAAGCAAUUUCUACUUCAAAUCAUAACUAAGGGCUGCAGAGCUGAAUGUAUUGCACCCACCUGCCAGUAGAAUCCAGAAGGAGAGCCCUGGUGUUAUCUAUAUGCCCUCUUAGCUUCAUAGUCUUUGAACCAGUUCUUGGAUCCCAAACUCGCAAAACCUAUAUGUAAGUGAGGUAAAGAUAAGACAAUCUCUUCCAAAAUGUCAUAGGUGGAGAGAAACAUGAUAUUGUCAGAAAACUUGAAUUCAGUAAGAAGCGCAAACUACCUUCUCAGUUCCACCAGACACAAGAAGGGUUCCAUUAUCAUUCAUUGCCAAUGCAUAGACCGACUCUUUGUGGCCUUUGGCAGUGAUGGGGACAUAUCCAUGACACUGCGUUGUGCUUGCAUUAAUGCUGUUAUUCGAGCUAACUGUUCGCAAACUUGAUAUUGUUAAUGGAUUAGCAGAACCAUUGAUACCAAUGGAACAAUCAUCUUCCAUUACAUCACUUGACUUUGAAAGUGGAGUAACCGCAGCUUCAAUAUCCCAUAUGAAAACCUCCCCACCAAGACCACCAGAAGCAACCCAAUUGGUCUAAAAAGUAUGACACUAAAAGAGAAUCAGAAUGUGACUUCUAUAAUCAUAAACACCAUACCUUGAGCACAACCUAUGCUGCCAAAUUAAACACAGAACACUAACAAUAUAGCACUCAGAACCUUUCAUCCAUGCAGCUAACAAAUUCAAAGAAAAUAUUGCAUAGAAAUUACAUUUUUUUCAGCUGCAGCUAAACAUGUAACAUAGUCAGAGUGUUGGCGGAGAGUCCUGGUACAAGUUCCAUCAGACAAGCAGUUCCAUGUCUGGGUAUAACCCAAGGACAGAGCAUAUCAGUACUUGAUGCUUAGUCAAAAAAAAAAAAAACAGCCAGAGGUACAGCAUUAAUUAAUAGAAAACCUUCAGUGUGGUGUCUGAAGAGCAGGAAACAAGUGUAUUGCCACCAGCUAUUACAGUAUCGUUUACCUGUAUAACAAGAAAAUUGUUUUAUGCUCAUUCAUAACUUAGGCAGUAACAGAGAUAUGUUAUAUAUGUGUAAGAUGAUUGGAUGGUACUGAAGGAAACAAAAGAUAAAAGAGCACUCAACAUUUAAAUUGACUAUUGAUGUAAGUGAAGUGCAAUUUGAUUAUAAAUCAAGAUAUAGUUCUACUAGAUCAAAAAUUGAACAUAAAUUAAAUCUUUACAACUUCUAACAGAAAGUUAUCAGCUAAAGUAUGUUGGUUAUGCACAAAUCCAAAAGUAAACUGUCAUAGGCAAAAUAGAAGGUACCCAAUCAACAUGUGACUCAAAUGUGGCAGAGCAAGUGGCAGCAUCUUUACCCAGUGCCCAUCUCUUAAGUGUGCCAUCACGGCUUCCAGUGAAGAGAUAGUUACAUCCAUCAGAGGCAGACGACUGUAGGACAGCUAAACAAUUUAAGCCAGCACAAUGCUGCUAGACAACAUACCAAAGUGCAGAAACAUCAGUACCAAGUGACUAUACCCAAUAUAAACCAAUAAAAUGGUUGAAUACAAUCCAGAUAAUGGCUUUUUGCUGAGAAUAUAAACUGAAUUAAUAGCAGAAUAAUUUGAUUUGAUUGUACAAAAGAUCCUAAGUUAAUUAUGGACAUUUAAUUAAUAUAAAUAAUUAAUAACUGAGAACACAGGCAUCAUUUUCAUUUAAUAUAACAUGCUUCCUAAGUGUAAAAAGCAUCCAAUUUUGACACUGGGCAGUACUAACUCAGAGAAGGAAGUUGUCAAGUUUGACCCAGAUAGAUUUUAAAAUUAAAAGUUUAUAGGCAUAGCAAAUAUACAAUAAGCAUUGCUUACUCAAUACACAAGCUUUCUAGAAUUUUAUAUAUUCAUUUAUAGUUAAAGUUACCAGGAAACAAAUUAAAAAUGCAGACUAAGAAUCCUGAUAAAAUCUAAAAAAUGCAGACAGCAUUAUAGUGAAAUAUAAAGAUAAACAAACUAGAAACAUAAUAAAAUCUAAAUAAGCAAGUUCCUUGAGAUUUCCAAAAACACAUCAAGCAAGACUACUUGUCUACUUCAAAAGAAGGGGGGGGGGGAGGAAAAAUAUGAAGGGAUUUUUAAACCAUAAAAAGAAAUAACCUUUCUGUCAUUGGCAUCGCUCAAUACAUAGGUCAGUCGCUUUUCCUUACGCGGGCGGUUAGAAUUGCCAUUGUUCGCUGCACUGCCCACUCGAUGCAUUGCAGUGAACUCUACAUAAUCAGUCAAGUGAAAAUUUAAAACUUUACCACCUUCAAUGUGGCUAAAUACUAGAAUCUUUGAAUACAAUAGAUUAAGUAGAUAACCUAUCUUGUACAACCCUAAACUCAAUUAAACAAGGACAAAAGUACCUCAAAUUUACCAAAAUAGACCACAGUUAUCUACCUUUAACUGGUAAUUAAUAUUUCUUUAAAAUAAAAUAGUAGCAACCCUUCCACAUGAUUCUGCCAGAAAAGAUUCGAUCAUUCAAUGAACACACAAUUAAACUCUAAAUUAAAGCCAAAUUUCGUCUCAAAAUGCCAAUUAAAUAUACUAAAUAUCGUAGCAGCUUAAAAGUUACUACAACCUUAACCAUUUCAACUAAGAACUAACAUUUAGAUUCUCAUCGAAAAUUCAAACAAAAUAGACCUACAUGAUCAAACUAACCAAUUAACGCCAAAAAAUGAUCAAAGAAAUACUACAGAUUCAACAAUCUUCCCUUAAAACUAAAAAUUAAAAAAAAAGUCAACUAAAAUAAAUUCAUAAAGAAACAAACUAAAAAAGAUCGGUGAGAACGUGAGAAAUCAAUGAUCGGAGAGAGAUUAUUAAAAAAUAAAAUGAGAAAAGAAGUGAAGCUUUGAACUUACCGAAGGAAAAAGAAAUCAAACACGUCGAUGAAAAUCAAAUGGUCAACAGAAAGAUAUUAAAUUAAACCCUAAAAGGAAAAGAAUUGAUACGUAAUUCGACAGCGUUUUCUUGAUAUUAAUUUUGAUCUUUUUUCCUUUAUUGCUAAAAAAUGAGGGAAGAAAUCUUUAUAGAAAAACUAAACGGGAAAACUGCAGACUUAAAAAGAAGUCUAAAAGGAGUAGAAGUCUACAAGAGGAGUGGGACUGUGGGCUGUAGGUUUUUUUAUAAAAAGAUCCAAAACUUUUAAUUAUUUAUGAAAAUGACCCAUGCUGAGUAAAUAACCCGUUUUGAACAUAAAACUGCGGUGUUGCUGUUGCCAUUGGCGGCACCAUCUAUCACAAUGACCCAAUAAUUGGCCCAUACAAUUAUGAUUUCUUUGGAUGUCGUCAAGAGCAGCGAUGACACCAAAAGAAAUCAAAUUUUAAUUUCACGAGCCAAUCAUUGAGUGAUUGUGAUACGUGGUGUUGCCAAUGGUAAUAGCGGCACCAAGAUUUACUAUUCAAAACGAGUUAUUUAGGUAUAUGAUUUUCAGGGCGAGUUAUUUUUAUAAAUAAUUAAAAGUUUUAGGUCAUUUUUAUAAAAAACCUAUAAGCUGUAGGGACCAUGAAAAAUCUAAGUAAUUCAAACAAUUUUUUAAAAAAAAGUGAUUAUCCAAUCUAAUUUAUUUAUUUUUAUUUAAUUCAUAGUUACUUCUAAUCUAUAUCUAUUUUUCUAUUUAAAUUUUUUAUUUAAUUGUUAAAUUAACAAAAGCUUAGUAUUUUUAUUAAAAACUCUAUCACAUGUCGGUGAAUCCAUAACUUUUUUAGGGACUGUAAUUUAAUUAUUGUUUUUUGUAGAUUAAAAUAUAAGUUUAUAUGUAUUAAUGUAUAUUAUUUUUGAAGAGAUUAAAUAAAAAAAUCAAUUUUAGGCGACUAAAAGUGCAGUUUUACUAUACAUUGAUUUAUAAUUUCUUUAUUUAUAAGGGGAUUGAAUUGGAAAUUUUUCAUUUGGGGGAAAAAUGCAAUUUCACUAUGUACUAAUUUAUAGUUUCUCCAUUUAUAAGACGACUAAAUUAAAUUUUUUUCUUUUUUGGGAGAGCCAAGGCCUCUACAGACCCCUUUAGAUUCGCCCUUUGAAAACUAAAUAUUUAAAGCACAAAUGUUAAUUUAAAAAUAACAUACAAUAAAUAAUAGAACGUAGUGUUUGAAAUCAAUUAAUAAUAAUAUAUAAAAUAUGUACGAUAUUAAAAUAAAAAAAUAGAUUAAAUCGUGAAUAAAAUAAAAUUUAAACACGUAAAUAUAUCAUAUUAAAAAUACAAAGUAAAUAUAAUUAUUUAUCAUGGUAUUGUCAUCAAUCUUGAGUUAGUAUUAAGUUGACUAAUGAUGCCAACUCAAUGAACAACAUUAUCAAUACGUGUGUGGAAAUUACGUGUUUAGAAUAUAGAAGUGUGUUUAAGAAUAUCAUACAAUAAAUAAUAAAUUAUUUGGUCUGAAACUAAUUAAUAAUAAAAACACAUGAAAUAUCUCUACUAUUAUUUAAGUCUAUAACUAAGUUGGUAUCACGAGUCAAUCAGGCACCAACUCGAUUAAGGAAAUUACAAAAAUAUAUUUUUAUAUUUAAAAUAAAUUAUAUUAUUUGAUGGUGCUUAUAGAAUAAUUUGAACUCAUGCCAAUUAUAUUUCUGACUCCCCAAAAAAAUAUAUAAUUUAAUUUUGACCCCUAAAAUUCUGAUUUCGCCCCUGCUCCCUAAGUCUUAUUUUUGGAUCUGUCACAGAAAAAGAUCCUUUGACCGUUCAAGUUUGUCGCCCCUACUUUUUUUAGUUAAAGUUACCACGUGUCACAACCACGGCGUGAUAUGUGACAAAAAAAUAAUGAAAAUAAAAAUAAAUAAAAGUUAUAAAAAUUAUUAGAUUUUAAUAAAAAAUAUUAAAAAUUAGAAAAAAAUUAGAAAAAAUUGUAAAAUUUUAUAAAAUUCAUAAUUUUUUUUAUAAAACAUAUAGAAUUAUAGAAAAAAAUUAUAAAAUUUUAUAAAGUCGUAAGAAAAUUAUAAAAAAUGUAAAGAAAUAUAAAAUUCGUAAAAAAAAACUAUAAAAAUUAUCGUACCAAUAGAAUCAUUUUAUAACUUUAAUAGUCAACUGUUAAAGAGCCUUUUUCAGUGGCGAAUCUAGAAAUACGGCUAAGGGUAGGCAAGGGCGAAGUGAAAAAAAAAAUUUGGCGGAAUUAAAUUAUAUAUUUUUAUGAUAGUAAAAAAAUUCAAUUUCGUCAUUUUGAUAUUCUAUAUUUUUAUAAUUUUUAGAGGAUUAAAUCAAAAUUUUAUCAUUUUUGGUGGGCUAAAAUAUAAUUUUAGCAUUACUAAUUUAAAAUUUUAAAUAAAUUAUAAAUGAUCUAAAUGAAAAUUUUCCAUUUUAGGGGGUUGGGCCCUUGCCAGCCUCCCUAGAUCCAUCCCUGACUUUUUUUAUGCAUUUUAAUAAUUUAAGUACCGAAUUGAGUGUAAAAAAAAUGCAGGGGCUUAAUUGCUUCUUCUUUUUUUAAUUAUUUAAGUUUGAGAACCUUUUUAAUGCAUUUUGGUAGUUCAAGUAUCUAAUUGAGUAAAAAAAAAAGUCAGGGCUUAAUUUCUUUUUUUGAAAAAGUUCGAAGGUCUUUUUUAUACAAUUUAAAAAUUCAAGUAUCCAAUUGAGUACAAAAAAAGUACAAAUUUAAUUACUUACUUUAAAAAAAUUUGAAGACUUUUUACAUCCUUAAGUUAAAUAAAAACUAAAAAGAUCCAACCCAAGUUAAUCAAAUGCUAUCGAAGAUUACAUAAAUUUCUAUAUAAGUUACGCUUUUAUUUUGCAAUGUUUACUUAACUUAAAUUCAUUGUUUAAAGUAAAUAUAAAUAGAAGAUUAUAAAAAUUAAAUAUUGAAAAUUUUAACAUGAAAACAAAUUAAUUUAACAAACCUAUAGAAAUUAUUAAUAAGAUUAUUUAAAAUAUAAUAAAUUAAUAUUAAUAUUUAAACACUUUUUUAAAUAACAUUCAUAUAAUUAAUUCUAAAUUCAUUAUACGUUUUUAAAUUAUUUUGAAUUAAUUACUUAUUUGAUUUUUUAGAAAAUUCAUCUAAUAUACAUAAUUGAUUCGUGCAUCACAGUUGAAUAGAAACCAAUUAUAUACCACAAGGUUAAUAUUCAAUUCAGUUAUAUACUAUAAUGUUAGUUUUUAAUGCGUUACACAAUAAAAAUUUAUCACGUGGAAAGGAAAAAGAAAAAAAACAUUUGUAGAGGAAAAAUUUGCAACAUAAGCCCCUCUACUUUUUUUAUAUAAUUUUACAUAAACCCCUCUACUUUUUUAUAUAAAUUUAAGUGGUUUUUUGCAAGUUAAAAAUUCUUUUUAUGUUUAUCCUAUUUUUAUAGACACUAUUGAAUUACAUAUUUAGAAAUAUAAAUAAUGUUAAAAUAAAUGUUUAUUUAUUUAUAAUAUUAUUUAUUUAAAUUAAUCUAAUAUCAAUUAUCAUGUUUUAAAAAUUAGACUUAUAUAUUAUUAUGUUUUAGUUUUUUAAACAUAUUAUUAAUGAAAUGUUACAAAAUUCAUGAAAAUUUUUAAGAAAUAAUUAAAUGUAAUUUGAUUUAGAUACAAUUAUCGCAGAGAUGUCCGACAUAUUCUGUAUCUAACAUUUACACUCGAAUUCACACUCGAAUUCAAGUAACAUGUAUAUAUAUAUUCACGAAAUAUAAAUAGAAUACCCUCGUUGAGAACAUUUCUUAUUCACAACUGAAGAACCGAGACAUUUGAUUUCAGGGUGUAGAAUUUACCGGAAUCUGUUGUGACAUAGGCAAGUUUGAUUGGUCUUGAUGGGAAGGGAUAACAAGCCGCUGCAACGAUCUUAAAGCUACAGUUAGCUCUGCGAAUGAAGGUCGCAAACUUGGAUCACUAAAAACAAUGGGGGCAAUAUAUUAGACUGGAUUUUAGUAUUGUAAUAGAAAUAUAGUUGUUAGUUUAAAGUUCAAGUUCCGGGCUACUUACGUUUGCCAGCAUUGCCAGAUUAUCCUUGCAACUAAAGGAUCAAGUUCCUUGGGAAUGUCGAGGCGACGAUUCUGGAAACCAACAGCACCCACAACUUGCAUUGGAUUCAUUCCGCUCCAAGGUAGUCUCAAAGUCGCAAUCUCCCAAAGAAUGACUCCAAAGCUAUAAACAUCACAUCUAUACAUCCAAAAAAACACAAAAGAAUGCAUGUUAGUUUUAAGCUUGCAGAGUUUACUAAUUUCACAGCUUUAAAAUCCAUGAGUUUCUGCGAGAAAAUAGCAGUCACUUUUUAACUUUGAUCACUAAUAUUGAGUCAUAGUAAAAAAACAAUUAACGCAAUUAUAUGUUAUGUUACUUGGACUCAAGUGAGUUUAUGAUACGGUAGGUAACUUGCAUGCAUAUGUUCAAAUUUUCUCUGAAAUUUCUCUUUCAUUUAGAAGACCCUUGGAGGGUCAUAUCUUCAUACUCAUGUCGAACACAAGUGUAGGACUCGUGUAAUUUAGAAAAAAAAUGAAAAUUCGGAACAUUGAUUAUAUGUAACCAAAAGGUGACACUGACAGCUUAGCAUGGUGAAUUUUGAACUGCUAUGGAGAUAUGAAACUUUAAAUUUUAUGAUCUUCACUAUAUUUUCAGAAAUCCAACAGAUAAUUGAGGAACCAGAGGGAAAUGUUCGUGGAUUGAUCAAUCCUAGAAUGAAGGGAUUGAGCAAUCCUAGAACGAAGGAAGGAAGAUCAGGAUUAAACAAUAUCGAUGGAAGAGAAACAACUCACUUCUCAUUGGAGGGCUCAUUGCGAAGUACUUCUGGUGCCAUCCAUUCGGGCUAAAACAUAGAAGGCAACUCUCAGUCAGAGAAAUGAAGAAAGAACAUAAAUAUAACAGAAGUUACUUGUUCUAUCUAUUUAACUUUAUAAUAUAUUGCACAGUAGGCCAAAGAUACCAACCGUUCCUGCAGUUGAUUUGGAUGAUAGGAAGGUAUUAUGCUUCAAGCGUGACAAUCCAAAAUCACAGACCUGAAUUGUUCAGUUUAGCAAUCAGAGGGUGCAGAGCAAGAAUUCCACAGCAGCCAUACUUAAUUUCCUAAUUCUUUUCCUUGAAAAGAAUAAGAAACUUUAAGAAGCACAAAAGGCUUAAACAUACAAACAUCAUUUACCUUAACAGUCCAGUUUUUAUCAACUAAAAGAUUAGGAGACUUCAAAUCGCGGUGAACAAUGGUAGGUAUGCUGGCAUGUAGGCAAUUCAUGCCCCUAGCCUGCAAAAUAAAAACAGAUUUGAAAUUUUACAGGGAUGUGACAUACUAAAUAAAACAAUUGCAGAAGCAAUCAAUUCCAUACCACAUCAAGAGCCAUCUUAAUUCUUUGCUUCUCAUCAAUUCGAGAAUGAGGACGAUGAAGAAUCUUAUAUAAGCUUCCUCUGGAAAACCAAAUAGCAUUUGAAAAUUUUAGAUCUCAAAGUUUAUCGACAUGUCUGUCACAUAAAUGCAUAUGUAUACUGGUAGUUGUAGACUGCCAACCUUGUAUGUACUUUGCAUAUGCAGGCAUAGACUUACCUUGGAAGAAACUCAGUAAUGAUAGACAGGUUUGGAGGGCGAGUAACAGCACCCAUAAAAAGAACGACGUUUGGAUGGCGCAGUCUACGCAUUAUUCGCACCUUAAUUAGAGAGAAACAGAAACCAGGAUCAGUGACUUGGACCUAUUUAACUGCCAUGACCUUAGGCAUGAUGUUUGUCUUAAAAUAAACUAAAAAAACUAAAAUAUCUGAAAACUUAUUUAACUAACUAUCCUUUUAAGAGAGAGACAAAUGCUCAAAAGUUGCUUACUUCUCUUUUGAACUCAGCCAAAGCAUCACCUGAAAAAUCCUGGUCUAGGAACUUCUUCACAGCAACCUCCUUUAGUUCAAUAACCAUUAGUCAUACCAGCCCAAAAUAAUAAACUAAUUGAUCUUUUAAUUUGUAGUGCAUAACAUCAUUUAGAUAAAGUAUAUUUAUGGUUCAGUACUGAGUUCAAAACAAGGAAAAUAGACCUCGUUACUAUGCUUUACGCAAAUAAUUGUUAGACAGCUUGAAACCUGAAUCCUCUAAAAUACUAAUCGGAGACAGCACAGAGUGAAAUACAAGAUGAAAACUGCGUUAGAGUGCAGCAGAGUAUAUACUAACCGUGCCAUUCCAAUCCGCAUGGUAGACCUCUCCAUAAGAACCUAUUCACACGAAAACAAAAUUUAGAAUACCUCCCAAAAAUGGUAAAAGUUCUUGCAAAGCAAGCAUCAGAAUUACUCAAUUUAAACUCUCAAGAUUUUCAUAGGGAAUAACAAUAGCUCUGUUCUUUUUGUUGAAAGCUAAUAACAAUAGCUCUUAAAUAUAAAACAAGGGGAAUAAAUCUUACAUGGCAGACACAAUAUGCAAGUAUGACUGAAUCAACAUUUAGUUUAUAUGCAAAAAUUGACCUAUGCAUAAUGAGAGAAAUUUCCACAUGUAAUGGACCUCAAUAAGCCACAUCCAUUACCUAAUCCAAUUCUUUCACCAAUAUCCAAGUCUUCCCAAGGAAUUUCGCAUUCACCUACAUCCACAUCAUCAAAUAGUUGUUCAACCUUGCCUUUGCCAGAAUCAAGUGAUGAGCUAGGACUUUCCGGAUCCUUCAAUUUAAGGUUAUUCUCCACAUAUCUCUCCUGGGUGUACUUUCUAUGAUUAUAGAAACCAAUCUCAUUAUCUUGCUCUUUAGCUAAAUCCCCUGUUUUAUUCUGUAAAUCAUGUCCAUUCCUGAAAUUCUCUUCCCUAAAAUUAUUGUUUGCGUCCUCAACCAGUUGUGAGCUAUUAAACUGACUGGUAGUGGAUGCCACAGAUGAGCUAGUAACAGACAAAGAAUUCUGGAUUUUAUUCUCUCUAUUCAACAUAUCAAAGCGCCCAGGGGAGUUAAAUCCGUGAGAGUAGACCUUUUCUGGUUUGGUAGAGCUAGUGGAAGCUGAUGAUGACUGAUUAAAAUCAUUAGGUUUGCAACUGAUUUUUGGAAAGAGGCCCUCCAUAUAAUUGUACUCCUUUUUCUGAGGAACCUCAUUAUAUACGGGUCGGUUCUUCCACAUCAAUGGUACUGGGGGUCGCGCCACAGCUACAUUAUUUCUCAGCCUCUGAAACUCGUCAACUUUGGUCUCUGUAGGUUUGUUUUGCUGGUAAGUUUUGCUAGUCCCUUUUCUCUGGAAUGGAUUAAGAUCUGCAAAAGGAUCUUUUGGGUCCUCUUGACUACUCUGACCAUAUGGCACUACAUUAACGUUCAUUCUCAGGCUAUCAACUACAUUGGCACCACGACUCCCUUUAUUGGCAGAAGUUCUAAUGGCAGUCGAAGGAAGAUGGUCCAACUGAUUAGGGGUCACUCUAUUAGAUAAUCCAGAGGAAAUAACACCAGAAUCAGCUCUUGGACCUGAUAAUGAAGGUAACACUUCUGCAGUUCCAGGGGUCACUCUAUAUAAUCCUGAAGAACUAACAGUAGAAUCACCACUUGGACCUGAUAAUGAAGGCAACACUUCUGCAGUUCCAGUACUUGACCCCCAAUUGAUGGGCAGACUACCAUUGACCACAGGGUGCUGACUACUACCCUCAAUGCUAGAUGGCUUUGCUCUUGAAUAACCAUUAUCAGACGACUGAAGAGUUGGGAUAUUGCUAAUAAUUGGAUUGUAUGGCUUAAAAGUAGCAUCGUUCGCACUUAAAAUAUCAGCAGGUAUAAGUGUACCAGGAGCUGCCAUUAGAUCAACCAAAAAUUCCCUGGAGAUUCAAAAACACAAGAUUAGACCUAAAUAGAAGUAAAAGAUUAAGUUAAGAAAGAAGCACAAGCUAUAACCUUUGAUCCUCAAGCUUUAUUAUAUUUACAGCAUCAUCCUCAACACCAGUAUAGUGGCUGCCUUUUACCAGUAUACAAGGUAACCUUAUGCUAUCUGCCAACACCUACAUUAGGACAGAUAGAAAAUAAAUAUAAACUUUGCACAUAGCCCUAUUACAAAAUUAUGAGCAUAGGAGUGGCAACUAAAAGAACAAAGAUAAAUCAAGGCAAUUUUGUUUCCAGAACUUAAUAGCUAAAUAUUAGAACCUGAGGCAAAGGCAUAGCCCUGUUUAUUAUCAUGACCCCUUCAGAGGGUCAGUCCUGCAAAGAAUGAGUUUUAAUCCCAGCCCAUGAAAAAAUUUCAAGGGUUUAUCCUUAGAAAUUGCAUAGAGAAACAGCCAUAAGUCAACAGAAUAGAUAUGAUUAUUUUGAACUCAUUUUUUUUAUACUAGGCAUAACUGGAAUAACCAUAUUAGAACAGGCACUGAAGUAAUUCUCAAAACUUCAAAAAUUAACCUUGAAGAGUAAAGCACGGUGCCGAGACAGGCCUAUAUUUAUGGAGCCAAUGGGGAACACACUUGUAUGAAGAGAUGUUCUAAGCUUUGUGCUUCUUUUCAUCCAUCUAGCCAAUACUAUAUUAGCAUCUUUAACAGGUCCACCCAUAUGUCCCGUUACAAGUUCAGCAAGCCGUUGAACUAACACAUCAAUAUUGGUAGCAGGGCAAUCUAAAGUAAUACAAUGUGCAAUUUGCAACAACUCUUCUAGGGCUGGGUCAAUCGUUCGAUUGACAAUUACAACUUCAAAGCCAGAAUUCCCGAGAUUCUUUUCAAGAUCAACAAGAGAUGGCAUUUUUUCUUGAAGUUUUGAAUCUGGGGAGAGCCCAUAUACAUCAUAAAAACCAUCCACCACUCUUUCCUCAUAAUCAAGCACAUUGUAUUCCUGGUGAAUAAAAGCAAUCCAACCAGUCAAUUCAAAUUGAAUAACUCAAGAAAUAGCAAGACAUGCAAGAACUCUAUGUAAUAGAGAGUUAUUGCAUCACUUCUUCUACACUGAAAGUAGCUAAGUCCUUUUAUUUUUUAUUUAAUUAUAAACCAACGAGAACAUGACAGGAAGAAAAGACUCAUUCAGUCCAAAUUAUCAUAAUAUAAUUCCAAACAGUAAAUUGCUAAAAUUCCCUAGGCAAGUGUCAAUGGAAUACUAGUUAUAGAAGCUGCCAAUGUUUCUGGAUUAAACAAAUUUCAGUGGUCAAAAGAUUGAAAGAAAUAGCAAGACAACCUGUGUAAAGACCAAAACACCAAACAUCAACUAAAGCAAAACAAGCCAGACAAAAAGGUCAUGACUAAGAGCACUAGAAACAUAUUCUCAAAUACACUUCAAAUUUAUUCCCUUCAUCUUAUAAAACGGUUCCUAUUAACAUUAUUAUCCUCAAUCUCCAAGCUAGGUAAUAACUGCUGGAGCUUCAUUCAUAGAGGCCAGAGCUUCAUUCAAAAUUUUCCCACCAGAAUUCACCAUAUAUAAAAAUCUAAAAUUCAAAUUCAAACCAUAGUUUGGCCUAACCAAUCACUAGCAGCAACUAAACAUCCCAAAUUCAAGCAUAUUCACUUUACUAGAUUCAACACAUACAUUUUCAACUCUCAAAAUGGCAAAGCAAACGAAGACAAAUAAAAUCCCUUACUCAAAACCAAAAAUUCCUAAGAAACUAUCAACACCGAAGUGGUAGAUGCCAUUUCCAGCUUCUCCACCUGAAGCUAAGUAAUGUAGCACAUCACUUUUAACUCAACUAACCAAAAAAGAAGCACAUACCCCUCCCCCCCCCCCCCCCCAAAAAAAAAAAAAAAUUGAAGCUAAUUCAAAACAAUUCCCUCUAGUUCAGUAUUGUAACUUGCCCAAACCAAACAGUCCAAAAAUGCAAUCACGAGAGCCAACUAAAACACUCACAACUCAAGCUCAAUCAAUCCAUUCAAUUCACUAAAUUUCCAAUUUAAACUUAGAAAAAUGAUUAAAAACGAAAACGUAAAAAUGCUUACCCAAUACUUCCUGGCCAAAACCUCAGCUGCCACGUCAUCUUUAACCCUCCCGAACCCUAAAUCCAUUCCAUGAUGAUUCCCUAAGCUCAAAAGCGUCGCCGCUCGGAUCUGAUCUUUCUCCGGAUCCUCGGAAUUAGAAGCACUGAUCGCCAAUGCUAACUGUACCUGAAACUCUUCCUCUGACAACAUAUAGUCCGACGCUCGAUUGUUCGGAGCUGAUGGCGUACUCAAACCAAUGCUCGACAGUACCGGCAUCGGCGUCGUGUUCACCGGAGAUGAUGACGUAGUGGUUGUAGAAGUACUCAUCAGAGCAUUUCCGGACAUCGAGUGUUGAUGAUCGGUGGCGCAUGACGGCGAUGGCGACGGAGACGUGUCGGCUGUCGAAGCUCGAUUAUGUUCGUGAUUGCUUCCUAUGUGUAACUUCUUAAAAAUGUGCUUCAUUUUUCCCCCUUUUUUUCUUUUGUUAUUUUUCAGUUUCCUACACUUUCUCGCAUUUUCUCUCAGUUUCUUUUAUUUUUAAUUUAUUUAUUUUUUAUUUUUGGAAAGGGUCAUGUAAUAAAAGGUGUUGUUAAAAGGAGGGAAAACUUAGCAAAUGGUAUAAUAAGCCUUGGCGGGUAAUUAAUAAUAAUAAGGCUUGACUUUCAGAAAUAUCUACGAAACUGCCAUUCGCAAUCAUCACCACACGCGCUUUCGGUUGACGAUGUCCGAAUUAAGCAUCCAAUGCAGCUGGACACGUGGAUAUUAGGUACCAUGUCACUUGUGGGCUCCACUGAUUUUUAAGAUUGUGUUUGACUAAUCAUUUUAUAAUAAUAACAAAAAUUUCCUCUAAAAAAAGAACAAUCUAUAUAACAUAUAUAUCCAUAUAUAUCAAUCUAUAAUAUGUAUAUAUAUAUAUCUAUACAUGUCCUUGUAAAUCACGAAUUUAACUCAUCCUAUUUUAAUUUAGUUAAUUUUAGUAUUUAUAUUUUUUAAAAUUUAAAUUUUUAAUUUUAACCUAAAUAUUAGUUAUUAAGUUCGUUAAAUCAAUUUUAUUAGAUGAUAGUUAUUAAUAAUAUAAUUUUUUAUAUUACAUAAAAAUAAAAAAUUAAUAUGAUAUUACAAAUGUUGUAAUAUAUUUAUAGUAUAAAAUUUUAAAAAUAAUAAAAAUUAAUUUAAAAUUGAUCGUACGAUAAACAUGAAUUAUAAAAUAAAUUAAUUAUACAAAAAGAAUGAAAAUUAAAAUAUAGAAGCUAAAUUUGCAAUUUAUGCAUAAUAUAAAUACUAAUAAAAAUAUUAACAAAAAAUAAUUAAAUACAUAAUCUCUUACUCAAAAACUCAAUUCAAGAUUUAAUUAUUUAUUUUGAAAACAAAACUUAAUUUGAAAUAAAAAUUGUAUUAUUAAACUUGUUCAAUCGGAUGCAUUUAUUAAAUAAAUAGAUAAGGUCGAUUUAUUCUUAACUACGACCUUGAAUAUUUAUACUUAAAUUCAAUUUUUUUAUUCAAAAAAAUUUUCAAUACUAAUUUAAUUUUAUAAAAAAAAGAAUUACCGAAUUAAAAAAAAAAAAAAACUGUGCUCCCUUACUACUCAAAGAAGACAGGAAGGCUUGAACUAAACUUGCUCAAAAACACAAGCUUGAGCUUGAACUAAUCUUAUUUAUUAUUUCAAACAAUCCCACAUUUAUCUGGAAUCAAAUUCAAACAUUGAGCGACUGCACCUCCAUAAACACGAUCAAUAUUUAUUCCAAUGUAAAUAUUUAUUAAUAUGUGUUAAAACUUUGAAAAGAAAUACAGUGAACUGCAACAAACAGGGUUCAACACCAUGUCCAAACACCAAUUUUUUUUUUUUAUAACCCUAGAAGAAAACAAGAACCAUCAAUGGCGAAAGUUGAUAAUGUUGCUUGAUCAAUAGGUUACCUUCUCCAUGUUUCAUCUCAAGGCUCAAACACCAUACUCUCUGCUUCCCGUUUCACGGACUCAAACAGCACGGAAGACAAGUAUCGCUCUCCAAAGCUGGGGAAGACCACCUGGAUUAGAUCAAAUUUAAAAAAGGGGAAAAUAUUAACCAGUGCUUAGUAACAUUGUAAAACUAAAUGCAAAAGUUAUCAUAAAAAUACGAAUCAAUUAGUACUUAACUAGUGCUUAUAAAGACCCAUUAACUAGUUUGGAGUUCGGACCCUUAAAAGAUACAUAGAAUUCCAAAUAAGUAUAUUACAUCAGAAUCCGAGUAACAUAUGCAAGACUCAAGGCGAAAAACACCAUAGAUGACCUAAUAUAAUUUUGUUCAACAAGAAUGCAGGCGUAUAGAAUCUAGAAUCCAUGUGUAUGCCGAUAGUAUUAUCAGUGUAAUUUCACAGAAAUGUCUGAACUCUCAAUAACCCUUUUCAAUGGCGGCAUUUAUCUUCAAACAUAUUACUUCAAUCACAUGUUCAGAAAGAAUGAUGUAGGACUGAAUAAAAAAAACUUACAACAAUGAGUUUCCCGGCAUUUUCUGGCCUCUUGGCUAUCUCAAUCGCGGCGGCGGCGGCAGCACCGGAUGAUAUACCUACCUGUAAUAUAUGUUCCAAACAAUUACAACUAAAGGAAACUGCAGAAAGAAUCCAACAGAAGCUUGAGUGUCAAUUUUCGGUUUAGUUGUGAACAAGCACCAAGGUAUGGAUUUCCAUAUUGAAUUAUAUCAAGAAAACUGAAGAACCUUACCAACAAUCCUUCUUUCAGAGCAAGUUGUUUUGCAGUUUCAAUAGCUACUUCACUUGAUAUCUGCAGCCAUACAGGUAAUCGAUCAUUACAUGGAACAAGAAUAGCAAUACAUGCAUGAAGAAAAAAGCUGCAAUUGAAGAAAGUGUGCUCAUAUGUCGAAUACCACCGAGUUGCCUUCCCUAUAAGCAUCUAUAACAUAUAUUGAUCAUAGGAUAUGAAAUAAUGAAAACCAGCAAUGAAUUAUGAGAUAAAAGCUGUGUGGCUUAAAAAAACAUAGAAAAAUUUGAACAUUACAGUAUUAGGCACAUACUCCUAUUUGACACUUAUGCUCAAUUCUGAGUAAAUAUAGGAUAAUAGCAUAUAGAUCCGAAGUUGAAGAAAACAUUGGUCUUAAUAAAUUAAAUAUCAUCAAGACUUACUUGAACGACUUCAUCGAUUAAAUUGACGUCUAAAACCCCAGGGAUGAAGCCAGCACCAAUUCCUUGGAUCUUAUGUGGACCUUGAACAUUAAAAAAUGCAACCAUCCAUCAAUAGAUAAAACAUUAAUCUUAUUUUAGCAUGAGGAGUACCGGAAAAGAAUUUUCAGAUGAUAAUGGCAAAAAUAUUUAAUAAUCUUCCUAAGAUUUAAGAGACUAAAGCCAUGCUGUUUGCCUGUUGUCAGGGACAAUGUACAAAAGCUUUGUAGGGAAAAUUUUCAAAUUUGAUGUGAAUAAAAUAUUAUGAUUGGAAUUAUAAACCAGAGGUCUGAGUGGUUUGACUUUGACCACCUGUUUGGAUAUAGUUUGUAAAAGAACAACUUACCAGGUUUCCCUCCAGAAAGCACUGCACUCUCAACUGGUUCCACGCCAACGAGCUGAAUCGAAAAAAGCAAGGAGCAAUGGAAACAUAAGAAACACAAAAGCACAAUGACAGACAAACAAAAUUAGUAAUAGUUAGGGAUCAGAAAGUCUAACCUUAAUGCCAGGAUUCUGCUCUUUCAGAUACUUCCCGGCUCCUGUUACAGUACCUCCAGUCCCGAUACCAGAGACAAGGACAUCUACCUUUCCUCCACUGCCUUUCCAUAUCUCCGGUCCGGUUGUCAGAUAAUGGAUCUAAAACAGGAACAAAGAAUCAAAUCACAACACCCUCAACGGCUCGAACUACUAACAUAUGCGUGAAAAGAGUUCUGAAUGAUACCUUUGGGUUGGCAGGGUUUUCAAAUUGCUGAAGAAUGUAAGAAUUAGGAGUCUUUGACAUAAUUUCCUCAGCUUUUUGAACAGCCCCCUUCAUGCCCCGGGCUGGAUCCGUAAGAACUAGCUCAGCUCCAAAAGCUCGGAGGACCAUUCUUCUUUCUAAACUCAUUGAAGAAGGCAUCGUAAUUAUGAGUCUGUAACCCUUAGCAGCUGCCAUGAAUGCCAACCCUAUUCCGGUAUUACCACUAGUUGGCUCGAUCAGCACACUCUUCAUCAUAUAGGAAAAACAGAAACUUUGUCAAGUUAAAACUUCUCUCCUUGAGUUUAUACUUUCAACAUUAAAGCAACAAGAUCGUGACAUGAGCUCAAGGAAAGCUAUACUUUUGCAUAUAAAAAUGAAAGGAGUUUGAAUAUCGAAUUUAAAAGGAACAAAAACUUGAAAGCCAACAAGCUUCUACAUAAAGCUUUCUCUAUGUAAGUUCAAAUGGUUAACUAGAGAUGCUUUACAAGUUGACAACAACACACAAUUUCAGCCUAUGGCAUAGCUAGAAUAGUAUAACUACAAUCCACUUAAAACCCUAAACCUAGCAUAAACUUGAAUUUUAAGAGAGAAAUAUAGCGAGUACCAACCUCGCCUGGUACAAUGAGACCCUUCUCCUCUGCAUCUGCAAUCAUACUAUAUCCAAUCCUGCAUGCAAAGAAGGUUUUCAAAACAAAGAUUAUAGAACUUCAGUCCUACCAUAAGUUAAUGCAGCGUAAUAGAGUUGAUUACAAUAAAAUAUUCUGAUACAACCGGCAAAAGACGUUUAAUAAAUACCUGUCCUUGACACUGGAGCAGGGUUCCAUUGCCUCCAACUUGGCAGCAAUUUUAGCCACACAUCCAUCUACAACAUUGUUGAGAUAUACCAGUGGCGUGUUACCGAUCAACUGUUCAUAUCCAAAACAAACGAUAUUAACAAGGUUGGCAAUACUUUUAUUGAAUUAAAACACAUAAAAAGAUCCUUUAAUAUUGUUAAUGAAGAUGAACAACUGCUUACUUCGGUGACAUCCUUGGCAAUUAAACUCUUUUCCCCCAUUUCUUCUUUAAGUUACUGCACAAACAUUCCAAAGAUUAAAUCAUUUAGCAAAACAAGCCAAACAAAUUGAAUAUGAUUAAGUAGUCAUGAUUGAAACAAAACAAAAAGGAGCGCGAAGACAUUUUGAGCGCUUGAAGAACAAUAACAGUAAUUUAAAAUAACAAUUAGUUUGUCUAAAAAAAAAAAGAUUCAUUACGAAAGAGAAAUUAGUUCCCUAAGAGUUGAGACACUAAAGUGACUAGAAAUGACUCUGAACUUGAUCAAUCCAAAAGCAAAAUCGGAUCCCAUGAAAGUUACAGUAAUGAAGAGGAGGAAAAACCCAGAAUCAAUAAAAUAAAGAAGAACAUAAACAGCCUACGAAAAAAACCCAUAAAUCCAAUCUUAAAAACACAAACAAAACUAUAAUCUGACAGAUAUUUAAAGUACCCAACCUCCAAAAGUUGCAGAAUUCACAAGAAAGAUGGUGUUUUUCAGUACAAUCUGUGAAGCAAAAAUGAUAUAUAAGCCAAAGACCAAAGAGUUCAAAGGCUUAAGUAACCUCGAGAAAGCUGAUAGACAGGAAAGCUACUUUAUAGCUGUUUGUAUAUUAUCAAAAUUUCCUCUCUUUUUUAUUUCCAAUUUUUUUCUUUUGUACUUAAAAGAAAAAGCCAAUUUGGCCAACAAGGCAACUAACGGGGUAAAAUAAAAUAAAGUAAACUACAACAAAAGUCCCUAAAUUAUUAGCAUAUUUACGUUUUGAUCAUUUAGUUUUAAAAAGUUACAAAAUGGUCAUUAAACUAUUUGAAAGUUUUUAUUUAAAUCACUAAACUAUUCGGAAGUUUUCAUUUAAAUUAUAAGUUUUUCUCUUAAGGUCCAGCUAGCGAGCUCCAAGCGACGAUUUGACGAUUGGUACGAUGGAUCCAUCGACGAGUAGAAAAACAUGCCUUAGAUCCAAGUUGAUCUAAUGGUCAAUGUUGGAGAUUGCAGAAAAAAGUUGUUUGGAUUUUGGUUUGCAAUUUCUUGACGUUCAAAGACGUUUCAUGAAAAAAAAAUGAACUAUAAAAGAGAAGGAUAAAAAGAAAUUUAGGUUAGUGCACGCUGUGAGAACAUAAAAGGCCAUAUAACAACGAUUUGAAAAGCUCAAUGACUUAAAUUAAAACUUUUGAAUAGUUCAAUGAUCAUUUUAUCAUUUUUUGAAGUUAAAUGACAAAAACGUAAAUUUAUUAAUAGUUUAAUGACUUGGGUAGAAUUUAUCUACCAUGUAAUUUAAAAAAUAUACAUAAAAAAGACGAAAUCCAUUCAACCUGGUCCCUCUUAAAAAAAUUUUAUUUUCUCAUUUUAAUUUCCGAACAAAAUUAAAAAUGAUAAUAACAAAGACAAAAGGGUAAACUAUCAAAAAGAAAAAAAAUUAAAUUGCUCAAAACUAAAAAAUAUGGGGACCAAUUGUAAAAUUUAAUCUAAAAUUUUUAAUUUUGCCCAAAUUCUUUUUUAUUAUCAUUUUACCCUCCACCUCUCUAGUUUAGUCAAAUUAGUGUUUUUAGACGAAAAAAAUUUGACUCAACUGUUAAAUUUUUAAGGGCACUUACCAUAAUAUCCCUUAUCCAAGUAAACUUAAGCAAUGAGUGUUACAUUUAACACUGAACAUUCACUUGCAAAUUCAAAUACUUUAAAAUUGAAAUUUAACGAAUAAUUUCAAGUCCUUAUUAUGCUUUUAAGAACAUAAUUUGACUAAUAAAAAAAAUCAAUUGCAUGUAAAAUUUGUUUCAGGUCUCACAUAAAAUUUAAAUUUAUUAUAUGUUUUUGAAAUAUCUAUGUGCUUUUUUUAUAUCUUUUUAACGUUUUUAAAUUAGGAUCAAAUUAAGAUCAUUUAUAAAUUUUAAGAGUUAUUUUAAAAAAAAUUAUGAAUAAAUUAAUAUAAUAUGUCAUCCAUGCAAUUAAUGGAAAUGUACCCAAAAAAAACAAUACUGAUUUGGUAGGUGAUUAAUUUAAAAAAUUUCAUAGUUGAUGACAAAAAAAAUAAAUUUAUAAUUAAAUAGAAAUUUAAUAAAAUUCAUAGUUAAAUGACAAAAAUAAAAUAACCCAUAAUUGGGUGAUGUGUGUUGUACUUUACCCUUAGUCAUAUCUCCCUUUGAAAAAGAAAGUUUGUCUUCAGCGUAAACAAGGAAAGGAGAGAGAGAGCUGAUGUCAACUGGCACUUGGUGACAUGGAAAAGUCCAAACGAAUAUAAUCACAGGUUGAGAAAGAAAAAAUGAUUUAUGGGUUUUUUUUCUUUAAAUAAAAUAUAUUUUAUUUUCUGUUUUGUAACUUUGGUUUGGAUUUGUUGAUAUUCGGCCUUUUGUUCUGUCAUGCCCCAUCCGUCCAUAAAUUGAUUUUUGCAAUGACUGGACAUCUCUAUUAAGGCAAUAUGGUAACAUUUUACUGAAUUUAAAUCAGGUUAAAUUGAAUUUUAUAUUUUUAAUAGCAUAUCAUUAGGUAUAUACAAAAGUUUCUAAAAAAUAUACCAAUAAUUUUAAGAAUAUUUGUUAAAAUUUUGGUAUUUAUAAUAAAAAUUUUAAUAUACCAAAAUUGUGUUACAUAAAGAUAUAUUCCUAAUGAAAUAUCAAAAUAUCUAGAAGCUAUUGAGUCAAGUGAACCGCCUUCCAAUUAACAGUUUUAAUACAAACAAUCUGUGUAUACUUUGCAUAUAUUCCUAACAUAUGGUUAUUUUAUUUGAUUAAACAAUUAUUCCAAAAUUAUCUUUAUAGGGGCAAUUCUGUACAAAAUUUAGUAUAAUAAAUUGAAUAAUACUUAAAUUAAAAAAGUAAUAAAUUUAAUUAAUUAGUUUUUUAUUAUUAUUUGUUUUGAUUUAAGUAGGAUGAAUCAAAGUCAUUAAUGUUAUAAAAAAUAUCAAAAGUAAUGUUUAAAAUCCAAUCAUGAAAAUCUCAUUUUACCCCGAAAAUGUUACAUUCCUUGAACCAAAAGUAACCUAAAAGCCUAGUAUUUCAAUGUCUUUUUCUAAUAUUUUAGAAGGAAAAAAAAGAAGCUAAAUGGCAAAAUAAAGGAAGGGAACAUUAAUGGAAAUAACAAAGUAUUACACUCAAUAAAUAUAUCAAAAUCUGCUAAGAUUAAACAUCAGUUGAACACCAAAAUCCAGUUUUUUCUUUUUUAAAAAAACAAACAAAACAGAUUGAAGAACACCUAAACACUUGUGUUGGAAAACAUUGGCUCUAAGUUACAGCAUCAACUUCACCUCUUCUUUUUCAAAUCCUUGUAUCUCACUUCUUCUUUGCUGCUUCACUGGCCUUGGUCUGUUCAACAAAGCAAAAACAUUCAUAUAAUCAGCCUCAACAACCAUCAAUCGUAGAUUGAUAGCAGUUUGAGUAGAGUUAUAUGGUGAAAAUCAUCGAGUGAUAUUUACCUUUUUUACUCCUCGGAUCUUCUUAGCCCGAUUCUUCCUUUCCUUCAUUUGCUUUCUCGAUUUCUCUACCUUGGAAUCGAGUCCGUUCUGAAAAAGUCAUGCAAAAAAUAAUCAGCAUCUAGAAUCAUAUCUAGUCAAUUCAAAGAAACGGUGAAAGAAAUGCAACUCAUGACUAAUGAUGGAAAGACGAGGAAUAUGCAAUGGCAAGCCAGAAGAUUUAGAACCCAUUUUCGAUAUCAAAUAUCAAAUAACUUAAAUUCACGGAAACUUAUAAACUAUGGAUCAAUGCAUUACAUAUUUACAUUCUAUCUCAAGUUUUCUUCAAAACAAGGCAUUUAUAAAGCACAAAAUAGAUGAAAACUCUAGUUCCAUAUCCAACUUGUCAUUUUUUACAAUGAAAGCUGAUUUCAGAUUCUAUAACAUCACCAUUACGAGUUGUUUUCAGUAAACAGAUCGAAUGCAGUGUUUAGAGUAUGAAAAGAGAAUUCCACAAAUAAACUACAUCGAGAAAUAAACAUCAACAUACUAGACAUGAAGCAAAAGCAGUUUAAAAUACAAACAAAUUCCAGAGAAAAAGUACAGAAAAUACAUCAGAAAUUACCCUGAUUAGCCUAUACUUGGGCUCGUACUUCUUUGCGUUCUCAACAGAAUCAUAUAUCAAACCAAAUCCGGUAGAUUUACCACCUCCAAAAUGGGUUCUGAACUUGAACACAAAAAUUGAAUUGGGGUCCUUAACCUCGUACAUUCUAGCAAGCUUCUCCUUUAGUUCAGCCUAAAAACCCAAACCAACAUCUCAAAAACAGGAUAACACAACCAUGAAACCAAUCCAAAUUUUCGAACAUUUAUGAUUGGUGUAGUUCCGAAUCUUCAUUUUAUUUGAAGCUGACAUGUCCGACACAUAUUCGGGUAUAUGAUAAGACUAUAAUAUUAUUAGGAAAUGUCAAAGAUUUACCUUGGAAACAUUGGGCCUCCCAGGAUGCAAAACAUCAAUGAUCUAAACAAAAAAGAAGCAGCAAAUAACAAGCUUUAGCUACCAACAAUGAACUCAAACAGAUACAAGCUAAUAUUUCAUUUCUCAGUUCCCCCACCCCCAAGAAAACAAAUUAAGCAAAGUCCUAAAUUAAGCAUCUUAUUAUCAAAGUAAUAAAAUCAGCAUUAAAUUUUUUCACUUAAGUUCUUAUAUUCCUUUAAUGAGAUCUCUCAAAGAAUGUAAUAGAAAAAAUAAUGGAAGUCAAGUGAAAAACCCCAAGACUAAAAUUUAACAAUGACCCAUGUUUGACUAUCAACAAAGUAGAUGGAAAAUGAGAGUGAGAAAGAAAAAGAAAAGCUUACUCACAAAUUGUUUCCUGGAAAGUAGCCUGUUGGUCAUGAACUUCCUGGUCCUAAUAGUCACUGCCUUGUCCGCCAUGGUUAAGCAAGAAUCUUUCUCUUUUUUUUUUCUUUUUUUUUUCGGAGCAGUUAUACAGUGAAAGCUUUCACCAGCAGCACCAACUCUCAAGGAAAAGGAUUGUAUAUGGCAAAAAAAAAAAAACUAUCUUAUAUGAUUAGGGUUUCAGUUGAUUCUCGAAAAUAGAGAGUUAGGGUUUCAGUGGAGAGGGUUUUAGCCUUGAAUUGGGCUGUAAAUUUGGGGAUUUUGGUUUUCCAGGCCUGCUAUGUAAAGCCCAGUAUUUUUUAAUGCUGGUUAGAGGCAUAAUAAUAAAAUAAUUUAUUUUUUGAAAAUAUAAAAUUACAUAGAUUUGACAAAUAUAUAAAAUUGACUUUACGUGGAUGACCAUCUGUAAAUUUAUCACCAUAACCAUAGAUUUUCAUUAUUAAAAUAAAUAAAUAAUUCAAUUAUUAUUUUAAAAAUCAAUAGUGGAAAAUUCUUUAUAUUCUUAUUUAUUUUUCCCUUUAAUUUUAUAAAAAAAUUAUUUUAACAAUAAUUUAAUUUUUUGUUUUUUAGUCCUUAAACUUAUAUUAUUUAUCAAAUUAUCUCAAAAUAGAUGAAAAAAUUAACAUAUGUUAACUUUAUUGAUGUGGCAUCCAUGUGUAUGCUUUUAAAAAUUAAAAAUAUUAAAUAAAUAUAUUUUUUAAUUUUUAUACUUUUUUGAAUGUUUUAUAUUUUAAAAAAUAAUUAAUUGCUAAUAUGGUAUUACAUGGCAAUUCAUUUUGUAUCAAAAAUUAAAUAAAAGACUAAAAUGAAUUUUUUGUACAGUUGAAAGGUCAAAUAAAUCAUUAUGCCUUAUUAUUAUUAUUAUUAUCCAAACAUGGCAAUAGAGAAACAUUAUUAUGCCAUUAGAGCAGCUAGGAAAAUUCUUAUGAAAUGUCAAACUGAAAUUUUCAUCUUCGAAUAUAUAUCAAUCAACGUACACAAUACCAGAGUUUCUUAUAUUUAUAAUGACAAUAUUUAUUGAUUUAAUUCUUCAGAAAAAAAAAGAGUAACUUUCAACAUUUUCUCAGGAAAAUCCUCUGCAAUUUAUGCCUAGAGUGCUCACUAGGAGGCUCUGGAAGUAGCAUUCAAGAACAGCUCAACAUUGCAGUAGAUUAUAAAAGUAUUGUAGUAACUGCGUUGAGGAUUGUCCAACAAAUUAUUUAUCAAUGAUAGAAGAAUAUGAAUUUUUUACUUACGACCGUUAUGAAUUGAAUUAUAAUCAAAUUGUUUUGAGUCGUUCAUCAAUGUCAGUAAUUGUCGAUUAUAUAAUUCGACCGUACUCUAAAAAUCUGUAUGUAGCUAUGUGAGCCUUCCUGUGUUGGAACAGCUCGGAUAAGUAUUAGAUUAUAUGACUGCACAGAUAAGAAUUAAGAUAAAUGUAAGUGCAGCUAAUCCGAGUAUUGCACCGAAGAACCAGCAAAUCUUCUGGAGAAAACUCAGUGGAGUCGAAGUACUGCCUUGUUUCGUCUGCAACGCAAAAAGAGAUCAACAAAGCGAUUUGGAGCUUAAUUUGUGAACAAAUCUGUUUGAAAUAAGAAACGAAUACCUGCACUUGGCUCGUCAUCGAUACAUCGUUAGCCUGCACGAACAUAGCAACAAACAAGGCCUUUUCAGAAUGCAGAAGCUCAGGGAACAAUGAUUUUAAAUCUCAUGGAAAUACUAUGAACAUACAAUAAGUGGUCGGAAAAGCUCUCGAUCCUCUUCGGACAAGAAUGAUUUUGUUCGAUCUGCAAUCACAAGAUGAUUAACUCAAACAAAGUUGGUGAACGUUUGUUUGAAGGCAUUGAAAAGAGACCUUCCUAAGCAUCAGUUUCCAUGAUACGUGUAUGGUAAUGGCAUGCAAUGUAACGAUAGGAGAGAACUAGUUAAUUCCGGAGAGCAAACCGGUCCAUCCAUUCAUGCAGAUUACGACGUAACGCAGAGAAAUCGAAAUCAUAAUUGGAAAUCAUAUGCAUACUAAGAUGGUGAUGAUAGGAUCUUCUAGAUCACUAUAUUAGCUCAUUUUGUUCUAUUAGAAGUUGCAAAUCCUAUCCUUUACCCACUCCAAGCAUUCGGAAUAUAGAUCCGUUCUACCUUGUAUGUUGUCGGUGAUGAUUUUGUUCAUGUCGUUGUGAUUUCCAUGAAUCGAGUUUCCAGGCCUGCAAAGAAGAAGAAAAUUGCAAAGCUAAAUAAGUUCAAACCCUGCAGUUUCCAUAACAAUCUCUGUAUGCUCUCCCGUUAUCAUCAUAUUGACAUUGCUCCUUCUCGACCGGGAAGGUCAGGGGUUCGGGACAUGGUAACAGCCAGCCUCUCUGCAAAAUGCAGGGGAAAGGCUGCAUAUGACAAACAUCCGACCAUGUGCACCGGGAGACCACCCUAUUUAUCAACUAUAGACUUUCCGAAGUCAAUGGCCCGAAAUGAAAGAACCCCGACAUGAGAACCACAAUACCUGCUCGAAGUUGGUAAUGCAUACAGUCUAAGAGCCAAAGCUUUGAUUCUUAGCUGCAUAUCCGAUAGCAUCUUCCAUCUAUAGUCGAUAUCUUCAUUCGUUCUGCAAAUGUACUGCAGCAACAGGUUACUUAUGUAACAGAAUAAGAACAAAUCUAACACAUAGUUCAUCACUUCAGUUGAGAGUCUGAUACGUAUACAUAAAUACAUACAUUAUAUAUAUACAACAUUCAAGCAAUCCAUUUAUAGAUUUCGAUAAGGGGAGAAACAUUCUUCGAUGCUUAAGUCAAUAUAUUUCGAGUUAGGUUACCAUAAAAACAGAUUAAGAGCAGGAAAUUAAACAAACAAUCUAAGAUGCAACUUAGAGAGAAAUAUCAAACAUACAAAAUGGGUUUUGAAGGAGGGUUUCUAAGAAGUGAUUCAAGUCGAUCAAUUUUGAUCCCAACAUCUAAAAGCUUGGAACGAGCGGCAAUGUCUAUAACGCAAUUUCCAUGGUUUUGAAGUGAUGGGUUCUUGUUGUUUACUCUAUUUUCUAUGUCUUCCACCAACUUCAAUGCUUCUUCAGCUUCCCUUAGCCAUGCAUCCGCCAUUAAAGCUUGGUUGUACAUCUUCAAAAAAGUAAUUGUUGUGAUUCAAAAGGAAAAACAACAGCAAUGUCUGGUCUAAUGACUCAAAAAUAUGAACAACUCAACCAAUGGUAUUGUGUCAGAUCAGAGGAAACUUAUAUGGAAACUUUGUUGAAUUAAUUAUUUUUCCAUUUAAGUUACUUUUUGGGUGUUAAAAUGAUUGGAGUUUCACCUAUUGUGGUUAGCCAGCUAAGAUCAUCUGCAACGGGCAAGGUUUUUUGUCCAUGAAAAUCAUAUGGUCUGCAAUUUUUCUCUUUAUUUUUUUUAUUUUUCACGCGAGGACAAUUAUUACAAGCAGUUCCAUGAAAAGGACAUGAUUUGACAGAUUGUCAAUGUUCGAUCCAAGACAAAGGUUUGUGAAAACUGAAAUGGAAUAAUUUUUUUUAGUAAUUAAAUCCGGACAUCUGUGUAUUUUAGUAAUAUUAGCUUUAACAUGUAAAUAAUUUAUUUAAUUAUUUAUAUUUAUAUUUUUUUUAAUUAUUUGUCAUUUGUAUUAUGCGAUGUAUUAUCCUAUCUAAAUAAAAGUACAGGAAAAAAAAUAUCAAGGAAUUCAAACUGUUUUCUUUUAAUUAUUUGAUACUAUGAUCUAGAUUCCACAAUGGUUGUUUGAUUAUAUCAAAAAAAAAUGAAUGAACCAAAUUUGAUUUGGUAUUGGAACAAAACAAUGGUUUCUUUUCUUCCAAGUAAAGUUUUCUCAACUCUUACUCAAACCCCUAACCUAGCCAAUUCAAGUUUUUCAAACCUCCAAUUCUUUUUCCCCAUCUUCAAGCUCUUCACAGCUUUGUUUUAUGGAAUCUUUACUCCAAACUCGGCUUUUCUUACCGGAUUUCGAGCUCCACACGAUUUUGUUGAUGACUUCUUAAAUGAAACAAAGUUUGCUUGGAAUUUUUAUCAAUGGAGUUUUCAACGGAACUAUUACGAUUUUCCACUUGUCUCAAUUGAUGGAUAAGUAUGGAUAAGUGAUUAAAUAGAAACUUGUUUAGGCUCCUAUAACCUCAAUUUCUCUUCUGCCAUUGUCACAUCGGCUGGCCUCUCCAACUUCAUACCAACAUCCUCUGAAUGCAGUCCUACUCAUGACAUCCUAGAUUAAAAACCGAAUUGCACAACAUGAUACGAUUCUUGAAUCAAAGUUUAAAGAGAACCAAUAUGUACCUCCAUCAACUUGCCAAGAUCGAACUUGGGAGCCUUUCAGGAUCUUGACUUUACGAAUGAAAACAUUUAGUAAGGGAUAAAUACUUUAUGCUACUUCUCAAUCUCUCUACCAAUGACCUCAGGGAUGAACCUUGCGAACAAGUUCUUUCAGAUCAUAUGAAGAGGCCUGGUUAAUCAUAAUUUUUCUCAUUUUCCGACGAAUCUGACAAAAUAACAGUUAGUAUGAAACAUUGAAUAUAAGUCAAAAUAUGUCUUAAGAAAUCGAGUCAGGAACAAAAUUUUUGAACCAGACAAAUCUGGCUGGAUAGAGCAUAAUAGGUUCGCUUAACCUCGUUCGAUAGUCUUAACAUUGACAUAGGAUUCCAUCAAAAUAUGUCUUAAGAAACGCAUUUUAACCGGCACGGCUCAUAUUUUAGCUUCAAAAUACUUGGUUUAAACAUAUUGUCUCUCAAAUUGACAUAUGCAAUGUGCUCUACAAACUAAUUAAUUUAUCAAAACAAAAAGGAUCACAAGGAUUAAAGCUAUAAGCCUGUAACUAUUAAUCCAUGCUAAGAAUCCCCUUAGCAUUGUAGCUUCAAUUCCUAAACAAUAAUUGCUUCAAUCAGAUCGUUUUGAAUACCAUUUAAGAACAUUCGAACUGUGAAAUAAAACAUAGAAAGGAGCAUUAAAAGAAUAAAAAAGAAAAGGGUUUUGCCAAUGUUCCUUUCAUUGAACAAUGAAGGUGCCUAAAAAAAAAAAAAAGAAGAUAGUCGAAAAUAUUCGAAUCCAUAAUAUUUGAUUAAGAAAAGACAAUAUGACCUCUAAAAAAGCUCGAAUCAACACUAUCCAUUACGAUCUUGAUCGAAAACACAGAAAUGACAACAAUGUAACUUAAAAUUUAGCAAAGAUUGAAACAUUUUUAAGAUAUUAAAACAUUCCUGAAAAUUAUCUUUGGACCCCUUAUGGGGCAAUAAUCAAAAAGCUUUGAUUCAAUGUCGUUAGGGUUUAACACUAAAUUUUCAAACUUCUUAAAGCAGAAGUAAGCAAGCCUAGUUUAUCAUCAGCUUUCUGCCUGUAUUCUUUCUCCAAGGCUUUUGCUGCCAAAGACUGCAGCUCUGGACUCUCCUUGUCUUCCUUGUUCCUUCCUUUUGAAACCUGUCCGAUGGCUGAUGUGCACUGAACAAGAGGAUUCAAACUUUGGGUCAGAAAGAUAAAAUACGAGGACAUUGAAAAGAGUGAGUGUGAAACCCUUCUUUUUCCAGUAAGAUUUCAGUUAGUAUAAAGAUGAAGGCCAGUGCAUGAGUUCUCAAAAGAGAAGGAGCUUACCAAGCAAACUCCAAGAAGUGCUCUGGUAUUCUUGCCUCCAGUCAAGUCAAUAGUCGAUGCAUAGUAUUUCUUCGAGGUCUGAAGGUUUUCCAGUCCACCGAGUGUGUAAAGUACCUGUUGAUGAAAAAGCAUAGUGCGUAAUCAAUGAAAACAAGAAUUCAGAGGAGAAUCAGAAGAGUUCGAGCUAGAAAUCUUUUGCUGAACCAAUGCAAGGUGAAAAGCAUUAUCCUGUGAAACUGUAAAGACUCGAAACUCGUGCUUGUGAAUUUCCUUUUGUGGGACAAAACAGUAAGGUUUUCGAGUAAAAACAAACAGUAUCUCCACACAAUGGUAUCAAUGCCAGUUUGGGUGCAGGGCUCCACAGAGGAAGACAGAUCCAACGUCUACCUGGGAGUUUCCUUCUUGGUUGGGAAUCAUUGGUCAUUUGCAUUUUUGCAUAACCACAAUCACUAAGGAAUUGGUUCUUUGUUUUAGGAUCAUCCUAGCAGAAUCAUAAUUACUACCGAACCAUUUCUUUGUUCAUUGAGCUCAUUAAGAGCCGAGAAUAUACUUAAAGAUGAGCGUUUACAAAGGGAAUGCUAUUCUCUAGGAAAAUUGGAAUGUGAGAAACUGCUAAUGAAAUUGCAUACCAGUUUCUAACUAUGAUAGUUUGAGUUUUCAUUUUCCUUGAAGUAUCCUUAUCCAACAUAUACUGGACAUGGGUAAGGAGGUACGUUCCUCUUAAAAAAACUGAGCAUACACAUGCCAGAUACAUACUCAUAUUUCGAUAAUCAACCCCCCCCCCCCAAAAAAAAAUUCCGAGUAAAAGAAGUUUUUAACUACAAUAAAGAAGAAACUUACAUCAGCAUAGGCCAGAUGAUACAAGGGAACUGUUGGUUGAGAUAAAAUAAGCUCCUCAUAGCAGAAAGCGGCUUGUUUGUACCUGAUUUAUCAACCAAAAAAACAAAAAAAAAAAAGAAGCUUAAAUCACUGCUAUUUUAUGAUUGGCAACAUAGUUAAGCUGUAAUAGAUUAAAACUCACAUUUGUAGGGAGACAUAUAUCUCUGCAAGUUCUCUCCAAGCAUCAUGAUCUGCCAUAAAUCUAUCAAAAGAAAAAUGGGGAAAUUGAGUGACAUUUGCUCUGUUGUAUAGUAUCGAAUUAGGAAAAUGUGUGACAGCAGAAAGGGGGAAAGAGAGACAGAGUUUUCUGAGAUAUCUCACAUUUCAAGAUAUUUAUUAAGCGACUCAAUAGCCCCUGAAAUAUUUCCUUGAGCCUUUGCCAUGGCUACUUUCCUCUUAUGUAUUACCUGCCCAAGAUAGGGUUUAUUGUCAUUGGUUUCUUUUUUGUUUUUUAUAAAAGAAAUAACCAAUUAUAUUUCUCUUUUAUCCAUUACAACUGAUUCUUUUUCAAGAAAGGCAGAGAGAAGGAGGGGAAGCGAGGGUCGGAAAGUGGUCACAGAAUUUACUUGAUCAAGUGGAUUGUCCUCUAAAAGACUAGAGUAAACUUUUUCAGCCUCAGCCCACAAUCCCUUUGCUUCAAGCAACAUGCCCUCCAGCCUCCCUGUAGACCAUGACAAAACAAAACCACUAGGUCAUCAAAUGUUCGGGGACAAUGAAUACCUUCGCCAGCAUCCUAUGGAAUCCAAAAUUAUACAAGAACUGUUUAUGUUUAUCCAUCCUUAUUCAAGCCAUAAUAUAGUAACAUAAAAGCCCAAUAAGGUUUGGAGUAGAAUAUUGACUGAGAUGUUUGGAAGAAGCUUAAUUCAAGUGUGUUAAUGAUGAAAAGGUAAGCCAUGAGUUUAUGAUUCACAAAUCACUGAAACUACGGCAUAAAUUAGUGUCAACAUAUAUAUACCCUUUUCGUAACACAAACGGAAAAUGUAGAACAUAUUUAACAGUCAUAUAUACUUACCAACCCUUUUGCUCUCUGGAAAUUUUUUCAGUAGAGCCUUUAUACAAUCCUGCAACAAUAAAUUGUACCAAUUUAAGACAGGUAACUUCACAAAUCUACUACCAAAGCAUCUAUGCUAAACAGCACUGUGAUUCAAGAAACAACGUAAUAUGCAGAUAAGCAUACAAACUGUUUCACUGGAGCCCAAACCAACAACAUUCAAUAAGAGUUACACCAUUUUGCAUAUAAAACAGGCAAAAGUCAUAUCUUCCUAACUAAUGGCUUCAUAAGUGAUGAGAAAACUGUAAGAACAAGCAAGACCUUAAAGAAUUCUUUCCAUCAAAAAAGAAAAUUACUCUUAACAUGUUCGAAAGAGAAAUCAUAUAAACAAUGAGAGUGGUCAAUCCAGAGGCGUGAUCAAUAUUUAAAUAGGAAACAGUAGAAUUAGUUUUACACAUAUAUGCAAGUCCAAAAUGCGAAAAUCAAUUUAACAUAAUAUGAAAACGGAAAAGCUUAAAAGAAAUCUAAAAUUGAAAAACUCAUAGACAAGAUUUGUACCUUUGCAACGUUGAGACAUUGGCAAUCCAUAGCAGCAAUAGCUACCUGCUCAUACAAAGUCCAUUCUGUAUCAAGAUAUAAGUACUUGUUAGUAAUUAUUACUGUUUACCGCUAUAAAUCAACUGAAGUAAAUCGCAAUAUAAAAUGAGAACUCAUAAAUCACAUUCCUAUAGAUAAAAUAACACUGAUUCACUGAUGCUUAUUGCCCUUCGAGGUGUAUAAAACUCAAUACAAAGAGAAGCACUGGAUGAUGUCACGGCACAUGAGAAAAAUGUACAAAACUAAGAUGAGUUCUUGUAUCUAAAUGCAGGUAUAAAAUUAACCAAAAGUCUCAGAGGUAUAAAGCAUUACAAAUUGUGCUUCAUCAAGCUUACCUAACUAUUUUUGUUUACUUCUCAAAACCUCAGCUGGGAAAUGAAUAUAAUGAAAACUCAACCCGACUUUCUUACAAAGCUAAUUCUUAUUUUAAUGCCUACCAAUUCAAAUCAAGCUUAUUUCACUUUCAAUUUUACACACAAAUAUAAAAUAUCUAAUUUAUAUAACUCAAAUUAAAUCAAAAUGUCAAUCUUUUUCUUAAAAAAAUCAUUAAGCUUCAAGUUUUAAAUUCAAGCAAAUCAACAACAGGGGCAACAAUUCAUAAAGCUUUGAAUUCAAGCAAAACCAAUAGAAAGAACUAAAAGACUAAACUCUAAAACCCCAAAAAACCCCAAUCACAAAAACUCAAAAUUCAAGCGAAACACUUUAGAAUCAUUGAAUUCAAGCAAAACCCAAAUCCACAAGUCACCCAAAGAAGCUAAAAGGAAGACUAACCUUCAGGGCCAAGAGCAGAUCUUUUCUUGGGAUCAUUUAAGAUGGAUAAACCAUAUUUCAAGACUUUCUCUGAACGCCUAACUUUGAGCUUUCUCACAAGGCAAAGGUACUCCCAAGCACCUCCUCCUCCAUUAUCUACCUGGUUUUCAAGCCUGUUCAAUUGGGUCUCCUCUGUUUUGCUCACCAUCUCUCAAUGUAAACGUUUUUUUUCCCUUUUUUGGGGGGUAUUUUUUAGAUUUUUCUUUUAUCAAAUUUGCUCUGCCUUUGGUUUUUCUCUAGUCUAUCGCCACUGGCCUGUAGAUUGGAUCUCUAACUAUAGGGUGGGAUUUUAAUUAAGAAAAUAUUUGGUAGAACGCUAUUGGAAUUUUUAAAGAGUUACGGGUGAGUAAAUAUCCCAUAAAAAUAUUUUAAAAAAUAUAUGUCAAAAUUUUAAAAUUAUUUAUAAAAAAAUUAUUAAAAUAGUUACUUUUACUUUCCUUAAUUUACAUUUUAAUAACUUAUAUUAUCGCGGUGUAACAUUUUUAUUAUUGAACUGUUAAUUAUCGUAAAAGUUAUAAUGGUAAGCUACCAUGUCAUGAUAAAUAAUCAUUUCAAACAAAAAAAUUUAGGUUAAUUUAUACAGCUGGCCACUAUGUUUUUUUAUUUUAAGCAAUUUAAAUUUUUUUCUUAUAUGUUUUUUUAACUUUCUUUUUUUUCAUGCUUUUCUCUUUUUCCUCUAAUUUUGUCUCUUCCCUAUUUCUUUUUAACUUAGUUUUUCUUGUUAUUUGUUAAAAAAACUAGUUUAAAAAAAAUAAAGAAGGGAGGAAAAUAGAAGGAAACGUAGAAGAGAAUAAAAAAUUAAAUUAAAUUACUUAAAAUAUAAAAAAUGACAAAUUUUAGAAUUUAAUCUAAAGUUUUAUUUGAAAUGAUAAUUUAACGUGUCACGUUAACUUACUCUCAUACCGUUAUUUGUAAUUAAUGAUUUAGUAAUUUAAACGUAACAUUUUAAAUAUAAAUAAUUAAAAUAUAAGCUAACGCAAAUAAAAGUAAAUACUUACCCUUUAAAUAAUUAACCUUUUUCUUAAGCGCUUGCCUUCUUUGUUUUGUAGUUUUUUUUUUUUUUUGGUAUGAUAGUUAACACAAAUCACUUAUUUAUUUUUGCUCAUUCAAAUCAUUAAUGUAUUGAGUCUUAUUACUAUAAAUAAAUACCAUAGUUACUCACGUAUAUGAUUUCUUUUUUGUCUAAAUCCUUAAAUAAGGUAAAAAAUAAUCUUCUAGGAUUUGCUUCCAACUUUCACAAAUUGUGAAACAAAAGUUAAUCUUUUUAAAAUUAUUAAAAUAAAAUAGUUUAAUUACGCACGAUCUUAAUAUUAUAACAAUUGACGUCAUCUACGACAAAAAGCUAUAUUUUUACGCUUAAACGGUUAAGAUUACUAUAAACAAGAAAACCAAGGCUUUCCCAUUUAUUAACAUUGGAACAAGUCUCUAGUAAAUGGGUUACGAUAACCUGAUAGAGACUUGCCAUCUUUCUUAACUCGCACUCAUCCUCUCCCUUCCAACUCCCUUGUUUUGAUUAUAUUUAGCUUGAGUCAUUCGAAUUUUUAAGUAUUUUAAUGUUUGACUUUAAUAAUUUGUGUGUAUAAUAUUAUUUCUAAAAUAUAUUUAAUACAUAAUUAUUUUUUAAUAAAUAUUAAAAAUUUCAAUUUGAACAGCAUAAAUAAUAUAAGAAAUGAGAUAAAGCAAAGUCAAUAAUUAGAUAUUUAAUUCAAAUCAAAAUCUCACUUUAAAAGUGAAUCCAGUUAUACUUGAAGUUAAUUAGAUAUUUAAUUCAAAUCAAAAUCUCACUUUAAAAGUGGAUUCAGUUAUACUUGAAGUGAACUUCAAAUUUCAAGUCCUCUCCAAUAUCUAUAAAGCUCAAUUCAACUUGAUUAUUCUUAAAUCUUGGGUUAUAAGUACACUCGUUUAAGGAUCGGAUUAAAAAGAUUUUCAAGAAUCAUAUUAUUCGAUUAGUUUAAAGGUUCAUUUGAUAUUUGGUAGAAUUUCUUUUUGUGCCUUCAAUUUAACUUGAUACAGAAUUCACCAAUGUGAAUGUGAAUAUAUUAGUCAAUGAAAAUGAGAGAAAAUAAGAGAUAAAAUAUGUAUAAGAGCAAUAAAAAAAAACAUAAAACUUAUGAAACAAUCAGGAUUAUUUCUAACAAAACAUGAAAAAACAAUUAUAACACUACAAAAUAUGACAACAUUAAUAUAUAUAUAUAUAUAUAUAUAUAUAUAUAAACACAGCAUUAGUACAUAGAUGAUUACUAACUACAAAUCAGUGGGAGAAUUUUGGUUUAUUUGGGUAAUGCAGGCUUCAGCUCUCACUGAACAUUGAUGGAAAUCCAAAGCUUUAGUAACUCAUCAAUACAAACUAUCAGUCUUACAGUGGUUGCAGUUUCCUGGGAAAUCCAUUCACCAAAAACCAUAAAGUUUUUGUUUUUUAAACCUUGGUGUUGUUCUUUGGUGGUGUAUUGAUAUAUUUCCACGUGAAUUGCAUUAAAUUUUCAGGCAAAGUAGCCCCUGCAACUUCAUUGAUUGGGAUUAUUUCUGAAAUUUCUUUCAAAUCUUCUUCUGUCAGCUUUACUUUCAGUGAUUCAAUGUUGCUAUCAAGAUUUUUUUUUUUAUCUUGGUUGUUCCAGUAAGAAGUCAAAAGAAACUUUUAAAAGCUAUGAUCUUUUGGCUCAAGAUUUUUGAGGCCCUUUAUGCUGCUUCUGCUGUGAAUUCUAGUCAAAUAUAUCUGUAGGCUGCUAUAUUAUUUCGACUCUUCAUUUUCUUUAACAGUAUCCGCAUCCAGUACUUCACAUAUUUGGAUAUGGCGUACCUGUGUCCAACUCAUAUCUGGGCAUAAGUAUCCGGAUGUGAUCCUACAAGGAUCCUUGAUCCUUGAUAUACAUGAAACUUUGUCCAAUAGUCAUGCUUCAAUCCGAGUUACAUGAUACAACAAGGGAGUCCAGGUUGAAAAUGAUUGAAUGUGACUUACCAGGAAUAGGGGCAACAUCAUCCCCUUGAUGAAGAACCCAGGCAAGUGCAAAUUUGACGCUGUACAUACAUGCUUUUCAGCCAACUUCUUUACUUUCAAAUAUAAGAUCCUGUUUUUGUCCAAGUUUUCUCCUUGAAACCUUGGGAACAUUGCCUUAAAAAGUAGAUAUUUGUAAUCAGUCAAUGAAUCUAUCUAUUAAGACUUAAAAGGGUUAUUACUGUACAAGAUUAAAUUCAUAUGUACUAUUCAUUUUCCAAGUAUCUCUGUCUGACAUAUGUGUUUAACAUGUAUUUGGAUAUAGAUACAAGUAUGAUCCUUUGUAUAUAUAGAAAAACUUACCAAAAGCUUAGAAUCCUCGUGUCAGAUACACAAUAGUAUCUGACAGUGACUUCUGAGUCCAUGUGACAAGGGUUUAAAAGCCAAAAUAAGGAGAGUUUCAUACCAGAUAACUAUUUCCAGAGAAACCUUGACCAAGGGGACUGUAUGGAACAAUCCCAAUUCCAAGUCCCUUGCAUUGUUGAAUGCAUUUUACGUAGGCAUGAUCUCAUAGGAGUUGGAAAGAGUUAAUUGUUAAAAAGCUUGAGUAUCUUGAGCCUCAAGAAUACUCGAACAACAUUUAACUUGGGAAAUGAAAGACUAUCAAUAAUCGAUUUCAAUCUAUGAUAGCUAGACUUUUCAUUUUCUCUAAAGGAUCCGUAUUCAAUAUGUUUGAUAUAGACAAGAGGGUAGAGUAUGAUCAUUCCGGAAAAAAAAAACCCUAACAUUUUUGAAAAUAUUAACAUUGAACACAUAUAUGUAUUCAACACUAGUUCGAGUCUGGAUAAUGAUUCAAGAUAGAGGAAGAAACCUGCAAAGGGUAGUUCGAGUCUGGAUAAUGAUUCAAGAUAGAAGAAGAAACCUGCAAAGGGGAACUACUUCUUCCUCAAUGAGUCCAGAGGGCCCACUCCAUUUGUACGGCAGUAAUGGGAUGAACAGCGUGUGCCCUCCUUAUAGUUUCAGGGCUAGCUUCAGAUAUACCAAUAUACUUUAUUUUUCCCUCUUCCACGAACUUCUUACAGUUCUUCCAUCUUACAUACAUAAAAUAAAUAUAAAUAUACUUAAUUUUUCCAUAAAAUAAAUAGUAUUUGACAUCUGAGCCUAACAUAUAUUUGGACAUACAGGUAUCCAAUGGUCACCCUUAUGUCCAGGUUCUACCUAAUAUGGGUAUGUCCCCAAGAAGAGAAUGUUUAGAGGUCCAUAUUUAUGCCGAACACAUACAUGUGUUGGACACUCAUCCUUGAGUCCAAAUAACAUGAGUUUUAAAAUGGUUUCCAACUAGGCAUGCACACUCAAGAUGGAUAGUAUGUACCCGAUAAGCAAUGUUUUCGGAACUGGACCGGUGGUAGAACCGGUCAGACUGCCAGUUCCCGGUCCAUCCGAUUCAAAUCAAAUAAAUUAUUUAAAAAAUAAAAAAAAAUUAAAUAUAUAUAAUUGUAAAAUCUGGUUCAACUGCUUCAACCAGUCUGUACUAGUUUGAGGAUCAACCAGCUUUUUUGCCUUGUUGCAGACCAGUGUAUCAGCUGGUUCCCGGUCCAACCAGCCGGUCUGGUCAGGUUCUGAAAACACAGCCGAUAAGGAAAUGUUUGGAUGAUUAACCUUUAUAUCCAUUUUCGAAUAUGCCUCAUACACAAAUAUUUUAAAAAAACUGAAAACCAAUAACAAAGGGUUUCUAAUGCAGCAAUACUUACAGUCUCCUCUGUAGGGGUCUUGGUGUCAACUCUGAUUAUAUAGUAAAGAUCAAUGUAAUCCACGUCAAGGCGUUUAAGGCUACUCUCAAGAGAAGCACAAACGUAUUCAGGAGUGCCACUGACAACAAGACCACCUGGACCAAUGCUUUCAGCGCCAAAUUUUGUAGCCAACUGUACCUUCUCUCACGGUAACUGCUUCAAUGCCUGCAAAAUAUUAAAAUAAAUUAGUUUUGUGUCCAUACAAGUCAGUUGUAUUGAAGAAAGUGAUUCCUUUUUCAAAUGCGUGCUUAAUGAUUAUUAUGCCAACAUCAUCUGAGACCGGAUCGUGAAAGAUCCAGAAUGACCCGUACACCCAAACCCUAACUUUGAAACCUGCAAACAAAAACAAGGGAUUUUACAACAAAAAAUGCAUUUUCUUAGCUAAUAUAAUUAAUAAUAACGAAACCUAAAACCUCAAGUCCUUGAGUUCCAAGUUUCACUCGAGGAAUCUGAACUCUCUGCUGUUCAUCAACCAUCGUUUGUUUCCUUUUUCUUCUCAAUGGAGGCCUUUCUGAUUAUAUAGCAACUCAAAAAAUAUCGUAAAAAAGAAGGAACUAUAAAAUAAUUCUGAAUAUGUCACCCCAUAGGUAAUUGAUUUUGACUACUUUGUUGCAGACAUUCAAAAUUAAGCUAAUGGAAGAACUAUUAAAUAAGAUAUUGAAAAAAGAGGCAAAAAAUUGGUCAAAAGAGCUAAAUAAUCACGACAUGUGUUAUCAGAUAAACAUUCAAAGAAUUAUUAAAUCAUUUCUUUUUUAAUUUACACCCUAUCUCAUAGGACCAAAACCAGUUUCUACAGCACACGUUAAUAUCUUGAGUUUAUAGCACUGUAGGGCCACAGAGCCUAUGAACCAAAGCAGGAUUCACAAGGAACAGAGUGAAGCAUUUGUUGCCUAUGAUGAGUAAGUGGUCACAUUGCCUACGCAAUAGUAGAUAAAAUGAACCUACUACAGCCCCAAAACACAGUACUAAUGGAAAUGGAAAAGCAGGUCUACCAACAAAUCUUAGGCAUGAUGCUAACAGAUUCAUUUUGAAAAUGCCCUGUUAUGUUAUAUGCUAUUGGGUUCAUAUGGCUACUUUUAAGUUCAAUGUUUCAUCGCUUCUAUUUCAGUUAUACAAUGUUUGACGACUAAUGAAAACAGAAAGACAAGCACUACCAAAUAAUCUUAGGCAUGAUGCUAAUGGACUCACUCUGAAAAUGUUAUGUUAUAUGCUAUUUGGUUCAUAUGGCUGCCUUCUGAGUUCAACGUUUCAUUACUUCUGUUUCAGUUCUAGAAUCUCAAUGACUAAUGGAAAAGCUGGCCAAACAAAGAAAUCUCAAGCAUGAUGCUAACAGAUUCACUUUAAAAUGUAUUGUUAUAUGCUAUACGGUUCAUGUAGCUGCUUUCAAGUUCACUCUUUCAUUUCUUCUAUUUCAGUUCUACAAUGCUCAAUGGCUAAUGGAAAGGCAGGCACUACCAAUAAAUCUCAGGCUUGAUGCUAACAGAUUCACUUUGAAAAUGUCUUGUUAUAAUGCUAAUGGCUUCAUAUGGAUGCUUUCAAGUUCAAUGCUUCAUUGCUUCUAUUUCAGCUCUACAAUGUUCGAUGACUAAUGGAAACCAAAAAGGCAGGCACUACAAAAUAAUCUUAGGCACGAUGUUAAGGAUUUAAUCUGAACAUGUCGUUUAUAAGCUAAUUGGUUCACAUGGCUGGUUUCAAGUUCAAUGUUUCUUUCCUUCUAUUCCAGCUCUACAAUGUUCAAUGACUAAUGGAAAGGCAGACAAUACCAAGAAAGCUAAGGCAUGAUGCUCAAGCGAAAAUGUCUUGCUAUAUGCUGAUGAGUUAAGAUGGCUGCUUUCAAGUUCAAUGCUUCAUUCCUUACACUUCGAUGCUCGAUGACAAAGGAAACAGGAAACACAAGUAUAACCAGCAAAUCUUUCAUGAUUAGGUGUGCUCGGGUGCAGCCAGAAGGAGCAAAACCCCUUAACAGCUGCACCAGGCAAGGCUAUUUCAAAGAUGCGAAAAUUCCAAAAAACAAAGCAGGCCAUUACAAAAACCAUGCAAGCAUUGGACGGUUCAGGACAUUUCCAAAUCCCAAUUAUUCCACAAUUUACAAUUAGUCUAAUACAAGAUCAAAAUCAAUAUUUUAGCAACAAAUUAUCCCACAAAUGAUCUAAAGAACAACUUAAAUAAACCCAUAAAUCAAUCCAACCAAACUUCAAAAAUAACCAAAAGAACAGGGAAACUAGAUAGACCAUUGCAAGUAUAGAAGCACAACAUAAUCAUUGACCAAUUCGUCAAUUUUAUUUCCAAAAUCCUCAAUUAUUCCACAAUGUUCAGUUACUCUACAGUACACAGCAGCAAAAUCCGAAACAUUUGCAUUAAUCCCCGCCCCCAAAACCCAGAAUCAAAAUCCCCUCAAAUAUGAAAUAACAACAAUGCAACUUCCACCUCACCUUUGCCUUCUUCAAUCACUUAGUCAUAACUUCCACACCUGUCUUCCCAGCAAUAAUAACAGAGGUAGCCAUCCCUAAAAACAACCCAUGUUCCACUACACCUUCCAUGGCAGAAAUCUCUUUCCCAGCUGCAAACCCAUCUUUUAUUGGAUUCUUGAAAUACAAAUCCACCAUGUAGUUCAUAUUAUCAGUCACGUAAGGCUUUUCACUACCAUCCCCUGCUAAUCUCAACUUUGCUUCACAACCCAACUCUUUGAACAAUCCUUCAAGUCUAACCAAGUUAUAUUUCCAACAAAACUGCACAACUUCAACAGGCAUGGCUAAACCACUCCCUCCAAGCCCUGAAACAAGCUUGCUAUCAUCAGCCACUACAAUGAAAGAAGAUGAAGCUGCUUCAACCAUUUUCUCUCGCAAAAGUGCACCCCCACGGCCUUUAACUAAGUCGAGGUUAGGGUCAACUUCAUCAGCACCAUCAAUGGCGAGAUCAAUAUGGGGAUGCAAGUCAAGGGUGGAUAAAGGGAUAUUAAGUGAUGCAGCUUGCUCUUGGGUUCUUUUUGAGGUUGGGAUUCCGACGAUGUUAGAAAGUUGACCGGUGGAAAGGAGUUGACCCAGUUUGUCAACCACAAAGGCAGCUGUUGAGCCUGUUCCUAGGCCUAGGACCAUACCUGACUUGACUGACUCAACCGCUUUGUCAGCUGCAAGCUUUUUGAGCUCAUCUUGGGAAAGGACUGGGGCAGAUUGGGACCUGAUGGAGAAUGAUUUCUGGGUUCGAGCCCGGUGGUUAAGAGGAGUGGCGCGUGGGGUAAAACGGGUGGCGGAGGAGAGGUGGAGGAAGGAUAAGGAGGCCAUUGGCUUUUGUUUCGGGGGCUUGUUUUGGCCUUUUCUUCAUUCUGAUUUUAUCUAUGCUGUUCGUGCUGUUUGUGUUAGGUGAACUUUGGGCUAAAGGUAGAAGGUUAGGAAAAGGACUAUUAAAAAAAGAAAAAAGAAAAAAAGAUAGAUAUCAAAAUUAUACCUCAAAUUUGAUUUUAUGUACAAUUUAAUAUAUAAAAUUUUAUUUUGUGCAAUUAUACCCAUAAAACUUUAAAUUUGGUUCAAAUAUUUACAUAAAAUUUUGAUUUUGAUUUAUUUGUGGACAUUUAAAGAAGUAAAUACUUUUAUGUUGCUUAACUGUAAUUAUUUGUGUAUGCAACAUGUAAACUUAAAAGGGUAUUAUAUCAAUAAUGGUACUAUUAGUUUAUAAAAAUUGAAUUUAAUCAAAAUGUCAAAUAUAAAUUUAAUAAAAUUUAAAUUUAUGUAUGACAUUGUAAAUUAAACUAAAAUUGAUUUAUAAUUUUAAGAUUUAUCUUUUUUAAAUAAAAAGAUUUUAAAGGUGUCAUUGUAAAUUAUUGGGAUUUGAUUUUUUUAAAGAAAUAACAAAUUUAUUAAGUAAUUGUAAAGUUGGAGCAAUUUAAGCUUUCAUGUAGGUCGAAUUUAAAUAUUUUAAAACUUGGUUUCGAGUAAUUAAAAAUUUUACUUCUCUUUGUUAUUUUUAAUAAAUAUCGAAAAUUUAAUUCGAAUUUAACCUCAAUCUUAAGUAUAAAUCAUUCAAAUUAAAGCUAAAAACAGAAGUCAAAUUUAUUUUUUAUUACCUGAUUAAAUAUUUGUGCCUUCAGUUUAACUUAAUACAGAAUUCACCCAUAUAAAUGGGAUUAUAUUAUUAUGAGAGAACAGUAUAACAAUAGAAAGGUAUACUUAUCAAACAACAGGUAAAACCUUAUUCGUCCAAGUAAAGCUAAGUAGAAACUUGGACUUGAUUAUUUCGAACACGAUACAAAACAUGACACAAUAACAUUAGAAUAAAGACAUAAACCACAGUAAUACAUGAAUUGGGAGAUUACUAGCUACAAACCACAGGCAAGAGUUUGUUUUAUUUGGGAAAUACAGGCUUCACCUCUCACUGAACCCUCCAUUAAUGGCAAUCCAAAGCUUUUGUACUGCAUCGAUACGAGCUUCCACUCUUUCAGUGGUUGCAGUUUCCUCUGUUCACCAGCACGCAUAAAACUCUGUUUUUAAACCUAGGUGCUCUUCUUUGGUGGUGUAUUGCCGUAUUUCCAAGUGAAUUGCUUUAAAGAAUCAGGAUAAUUACUCCCUGCAACCUCAUGGAUUGGGAUCGCAUCUAUAAUUUCUUUCAAAUCUUCUUUUGUCAACUUUACUUUCACUGAUUCAAUGUUGCUAUCUAGAUUUUCUAUCUUGGUUGUUCCUGUAAGAAGUGAAAACAAAGUGUCAAAAACUUUGGUCUUAAAUCUUAAUGGAAACUAUAUAAAAAUUGGCAUUUUGGUACAGGAAUUUUCAGGCCAUUCUUAUGAUACUCGAACUUGUAUCGGAGUGUCCAACACAGAUAUGUUCAUUUUCCUAUAGUUUUUACAUAUAUUUGGAGAAUUUUUAGAAGGUCGUAUGCCCCAUAUCAUGUCCGAAAAUAUGCUGGACAUAGGUAUUGGACACAGGCACUUAUAGAAAAAAUGGAGAGUACAAACAACAUAGACUUAUGCUAUUUCUGCAGGUUACUAUAUUACUCCGACUCUUUUCUUUUCUUUUUCAAGUAUCUGAGUCCAAUAUUCCGCAUAUUUUGACAUGAGUGUUUAAUUUAACCCUCCAAAUAUAUCAAAAAAACUUUAAAAAGACACUCAUAGUGGAUCACCUCAGAAUCCAAGUUGAAAGUGAUUGAAUGUGACCUACCAGGAAUAGGGGCAACAUCAUCCCCUUGAUGAAGAACCCAGGCAAGUGCAAGUUGUGCAGCUGUACAUCCAUGCUUUUCAGCCAACUUCUCUACUUUCGAAUAUAGGAUCCUAUUUUUCUCCAAGUUUUCUCCACUAAACCUUGGGAACAUUCUCUUCAAAAGUAAAUGUUUGUAAUCAGUCAAUCUGUUUUUCACAACUUAGAAGCAUGUUACUGUAAAUAUUAAGGUCCUAUGUUAUCUGAACUCUUCAUUUUCUUUAAAUAUUCAUAUCCAACAUGUUUCUGACAUCUAUUCGGAUAUAAAUGCAAGGGUAACAUCCUUCUAAUAAAUGAAAACGAAACCUAGAUAAAAAUUAAAUAUACUCAUGUCGAACACAUAUCCAUUAUCCAACACUUACUCUUGAGUCCGUAUAACAUAGGUUAAGUACAGAUUAAAGCCAAAUAAUGUGAGUCUCCAUACCAGAGGCGUAUUAGAGGUAUCUUUAUUCGCUCUACCGGCAAAGAAACCACGACCAAGUGGACUAUAUGGAACAAUCCCGAUUCCAAGUUCCCUGCAUUGUUGAACACAUUGAAGUAGGUAUAAUCUCACAGCAGUUGAAAGAGUUAAAACUGUUGAUGGCAUGAGUUUAUUGAGUCUCAAGAGUACUCAAAAAAACAUUUUAACUUCCCAAAUGAAGAAGACUAUCAAUAAUCAAAUUUCAAUCUAUAUGAACAAAAGGGUAUUUUUAUAACCCCCCAAAUAUAUAAAAUUUUGAAUAUAUCUAUACUUGAUACUCAUUCAAAUCCAAAUAACAUUUAAGUGACUUAAGAAAAAAAGUUAUGAUGAUUCAAGAUAGAAGAAUAAACCUGCAAAGGGGAAUUAUUUCUUCCUCAACAUCACGAGUCCAGAGCGACCACUCAAGUUGUACUGCAGUAAGAGGAUGAACAGCGUGUGCCCUCCUUAUAGUUUCGGGGCUAGCUUCAGAUAUACCAAUGUACUUUAUUUUUCCCUCUUCCACCAACUUCUUCAGUUCUUCCAUCUAUCAUACAUGAAAUAAAUAUAAAUUAUGCUUAAUUUUCCCAUAAACAAAAUACAGGGUUUUUAAUGCAGCAAUGCUUACGGUAUCUUCUAUAGGAGUCUUGUGGUCAACUCUGAUUAUAUAGUAAAGAUCAAUAUAAUCCACAUCAAGGCGUUGAAGGCUAGCCUCAAGUGAAGAACGAACAAAUUCAGGAGUGCCAUUGAUAACCGGACCACCUGGACCCAUGCUUUCAACACCGAAUUUUGUAGCCAACUGUACCUUCUCUCGUGGCAAAUGCUUCAAUGCCUGCAAAAAAGGUUUCCCAGAUUCCUUCAAAUCAUAUCGAUUUCAUAAACUAAAAAAAGCCAUCUCUCGCGCAUAUCUUCGAACAUGUAAUUGACACAAAAGUGUGGGACAUUGUGAGAGUGAAAGGAUCCCUCACAGUUCAAUGUAAUUCAACUUGAAGAGUUGAUCAAACAAAGGAUGUUACCUUUCCAACCAGAAUUUCGUUAGUUUUGGGUCCAUACAUGUCGGCUGUAUCGAAAUGAGUGAUUCCUCUUUCGAAUGCGUGCUUAAUGAUGGCUAUGCCAGCUUCAUCUGACACUGAAUUAUUGUGACCUGAAAGACCCAUACACCCAAAUCCCAGCUUUGAAACCUGUAAGCAAAAAACAAUGGAUUUUAGUUUUACCCCCGAAGAAAAAGCAUUUUCUUAACUAAUAAUAUAACUAGAAAGAAACACAAUCUCAAACCUCAAAUCCUUGAGUUCCAAGUUUCACUCUAGGAAUCUGAAUUGCCAUUUUUUGUUCCCUUUUUUUUUUUCUUCUUCUUCUUCUUCUUGGUGUUCUACAAACAAAGGCUUCUCUGAUUACCGAACAGCUCAAAACAUACCGUUAAAUAGAAGAUCUUGAGGCCUUUACCCAGAACCUUGUUCUUAGCUUUGUCAACAUUUGCUUACAUCAUUAUGGUGUCAGCCCGUAUGUAAUCGUUUUAGUCUACUAGAGAAAAAAACUAAUAAAUAAUCAUCAUCACAAAGAGGCAAAGCAUUUUUUCUUUAUCCAAAAAAAAAGGCAAAGAAUUGGUCAAAAGAUAUAUACAAUAAGUAAAUCAUGUCAUGUGUGUUAAUCAAUAAUCAGAUAAACAUCCUGAGAAAGGGGCCGUAAUACCUCCUUUCAUUCAUUUUUUUUCAAAGGUUCUUGUCUUUUUCUAGAAAGUCAAUGUUUUUACUGAAACAUUCAUAUUGCUGGUAAAAUUCUGCUAUUAGUAUAUCUAUUUUGCAAAUGUUGUUUAAUUUAAUCAAUUUUAAUUUUUAUAUUUUCCAGAUUGAUCAAUUUUAGUUUUUAUAUUUUUUGAGUUUUGAAAUUUUAGUCAUGACUCAGUUAAAUUUAUUUGGUUAAAUUUAAUUAUUAGACGUAGAAAUAUCAAGUUGACAUGACAUCACAUAUAUGACAAUAUGUUUAUAGUAUCAAAUUUUAGAAAUAGUAAAAUCUAACUUAAUGAAUUUAACGGUUAUAGUUUGGUGAGGACAAAAACAUUAAAAUUUAAAAGGUACAAGGUCUAAAAAUACCAAAUUAAAAUAGAAUUAAACCCAUAACUUUGUAAAAUAUAGGGACUAAUAGCUGAAUUUAACCUAUAUUGCUAUAACUUCAUUUUAUUUUAUAAAGCAACCAUUUUUCCUUUUUUGUCAACUUUUUUCACAUGUUUAUAUCGGUAUAUUAAAAAAAAAAGUUCAAAUAUCUAGAGAAUUUUAGAAUAUCAAUUUUUUGAAUAUAUAUAAAAUACAAAUGUUUCAAAAAUUAAUAAAUACUCAAAGCUGUGAAUAAAGAACAUAAGACGAAAUAAGUUGUUCGGAUUUUUUAAAUUAAAUGUAAAAUUAUUGCUUAAAUUAUAUUUUUAUUUUUAUUUUUUACUUUUAACUAUUUAAAAUGUUUUUUUGUCAAAGUUGAUAUUUAAAUUAUUAAUAUUGUCUUAUUUAUUUUUAAAUAUGAUAUUAGUCAAUAAAAACAAAACAUGUGAUACAUUUUUAUUAUAUGUCUCAUACUUUUUGCGAUAAAAUGAAACUAAAUUCAUAAUUUUUAUAUAUUUUUUUUAUAAAAAUCAAUAAAUAUUUAAGUGAGAAAUGGAUAUAAUUUAAAGUCAAAUUUUAUAGUUAAUUUUUCUUGCUUUUUUUUGAAGUAUUAAUUUAAUCUAAGGAUUUUUAAGUCUUCGUUAACUAUAUUUUUGUGCUAGGUAAGUUGGGAGAAACUACUAAGAACAAAUUUAUUGGGUUGAUUAGGGCAUUAAGUAUAUUUUUAUCUUAGUCGCAAAUUAAUUUAUAACGACACUAUUAAAAUUGAUCAUAAUCCAUUUAGUCUAAAUUUAAAUUUUGUUGGCUAGACAAGUAAAUCAUAUAAGCACAUAACUGAAUAAAUAAUUAAAAAAAUUGAAACAAUCAACGAGAAAAUAUGAUCCAUCAUUGUUUCAAGACAAUAAAGUUUAUUUCGUGUUGAAUUGAGCAAAUCACACAAAAAAAAAAUUAAAACAAAUUUGUAUAAAUACAACGUAAUAAAAAAUAAUAUAGAGAGAAAAAUAGUUAUAGAAUUUAUGCCAGAGUACUCCGAAUCUCUUUUUCUUUUAUCUUUGCAAUCUUGAAGUUUCUCUUGGUGUAGAGAGAGUUAUUUCUUAGCCUCUAAGUGAUUUCUUUUUAUUUUCCUUCUUUUUUUCCCUUAAAUCUCAUCACCACCGACCGCUUGCUAUCAAAUUAGUUGACAAACUUUUAAACAAAAUUAGUUGAGUCAGGACUUGAACAAUUUUGUAGACAUGUGUUGACUCAUAUUUAAAUAUCUAUACUGUAGAGUCUUUGAAGAUUAAAUCAUUCUAAGUAAACCCUCCAAUUAAAUGCAUCUUCUGGGUUUGUAUGUAAGGUUGAAGGUGGCUUCGAUGAAGGGAUCACGUCAGUUCUACGAUUCCGGUCCCGAGGCGUCAAUCCAAGCCUCCAAUCCAAAUUUAUCAAAACAAAAACCGAAUAAAAUGAGUUCUUAAAGAAAAUAAAGGGUUUAAAGUUUUUUUGGUCGAAAGAAAAGAUUUCCUUCCAAUUUUUUUCGGCCACUGUCAAGGUUACUCGGCCGUCAGAACUCGAAAAUUUUGGGAUCUCCGGCAGUGGAGCCGGCCGAUAGCAAUCAACAGGGGCAGCCGCAUCUUUAGAGAAAAAAUAAGGUGUUUUGGUUUUCGGCAGAAAUAAUGAUUAGUAUAUAUAUUGAGCCUUUUGGUUGGUAUAUUUGUUAAUAAGUCCUUCCGUUCUGUUUUUUAUUUUUAGGAUUUCCGCAUUUUAAAACGACAAUUUUGGUCCUUGUGAUUUUUGCUUCGUUUUUCAAUAUUGCAAUUUUCGGCUGGAAAAAUUACCGGAUUAGUCCACUGACUUUAUAUAUAUUAAAAAAUAUUUUAUGAAUUAUGAUUAUUUUUGGUAUAUGUUAUGUUUCUUCGUUUUACUUGAAUUUUGAGAUUUCUUUUAGGUUAUGUUAGAUUAUAUUUAGAAUUCUUUGACCUAGAUCUUGAGAUUCAAAUAAUAUACCUUUUAAAAAAAAUAAAUCUUAGGAUUUAAAUAGGUUAAAGUUUUAUUUUUCUAAUUUAGAUGUUCAAAGAGGUUAGAAGUUUGUUUUUCUAAUUUAAAUCUUAGGAUUAAUUUAGAUCUUAGGAUUUAAAUAGGUUAGAAUCUAAUUUAGAUAUUAGCAGGGGUGAAGUCAAAAAAAAUUUUUAGGAGGUCAAAAUUAAAUUGUAAUUUUUACGAUAGUAAAAAUGUAAUUUCACCAUUUUAAUAGUCUAUAUAUUUAUAAUUGUUAAAUGAUUAAAUCAAAUUUUUAUUAUUUUAGGAAGUCAAAGUGUAAUUUUACCUUUUCUAAUUUAAAAUACUAAAAAUUAUAAAUGACCUAAAUAGAAAAUUUUUCAUUUUUCGAGCCUGGGGCUCUCCCAGCCCCUAGAUGUUAGGAUUCAAUUUAUAUUUCUAAUUUAAAUCUUAACAUUCAAAUAGGUUAGAUUUCUCUUUCUUUACUUAGAUCCUAUGCUAUAGAGGUUAGAAUUUUAAUUUUCUGUCAAUUCUUAUAGGUUAGAAUUUAAACUUCCAUCAAUUAGAUUUUAAAGUUUUAUUAUAUUAGAAUUAAAAUUGAUUAGCUCGGAUAUUCUGAUUUUUUUAAUAAUAUUAAAUUUUGAGCAGUUUAAAUUUCGAUUUAGGAUUAUAGGAGUCAAUUUUGAAAUUUUUGAACUAGAAAUCUUUAGCACCAAAUUUUAUAGGAUUAUCUUUAGAUAGGCGUUGUAAGAAUGCUAUAAUCUUUCUUACAUUUAAUUAUACUCUCGAACUUCAAUUUUGGUGCGAGUCUGAAUCUAAUUUUUUAAGAUUUUUCCUCAAGAAUAGUUCUAAAGUCGUAGGCAAUAGGCAAUUAACUGACCUAAUUUAAAUUGGUUAAUGACGAUCCUAUUGCACGUUGGGCCAAAAUUCAUGUAUAAUUUAUAAAUACACUACUUAUCCUUAAAUUUUAUUUAAAAUGAUUUUUUGUUUGAUUUAUAUUAUGUUAUCUAUUUAAAUUUUUGCAGAUUUGAAUAUUUGACGAGUAAUAAUACUUAAUUCAAAUAUGAAUAGUUAUACUCAGAUAAUUUAUAAAUUUAAAUUUUUAAGUAAAUUUACGGAUUUAAAUAAUAGACAGAAGUUUAAGCCAAUAAAGGUUAGUGAGAGUAUACCACAUGUAAGUCCUUAAACUACACAAGAGGUGCUCAACCAUAUAUUAUAUAUUUGCAUCAUUUCGACAACUUCCCAAACCAACUAAACUCUCUAAUAAACUUAUCUUAAAAAACUCAAACCCCAAAUUUGAAUUCGUCAUUGUUCUCUUUUUGAAAUUUAGGGUCUCAACUUUCUAAUUGUUUUUAUAUUGUUUUUAUAUUGCGAUUUGAACUAUUUUCCUAAUCAAAUUAAUCUUUAAAUUAGUAAUUACACUUACAUUUAAGUCUGAAUUUUUUUUCUAAGUUAAUAUUUGAAUUUAAUUGUUCUUAAAUUAAGAUAUGAUUUUUUUAAAACAAAUAUGAAGGACUAACUUUGAUAGAAAAAAUUUAAAUUUCAAGAAUAAUUUUCAAAUUCAAGGAUUUACUUAGAAAAAGAAUUUAUUUGCUUGUAUUAUAAAACUUUCACUUUAUGAGAGAAGAUAAGGUUACAAAACCAAAUUAAAUAUUAACAAUUGAGCUUUGAAAGAAAUAAUCUGUGAGUAAAAUAGUUUUUAAUUGAUUGAGGAUAGAGUGAUGUAAUUCAGUUGAGUCUUUUCAAAGUUAAAAUUGGAAGUAAAUGAUUGAGUAGAAUUUAUAAAUGUACUUUUUUUGAAGUUCUUGAGAAAAGUUAAAUGAUAUUUUCAUUAAAAAUUAAAAGUAAAUAUUUUAACUAAUGCAUGACAAUGACUUUAUUGUGCUAUAAGUAAGUUGUUUAAGUACUAUGUUAGUCAAUUCAAAUGAGAGAACAGAGAGAUCAAGAACUAUAUUAGAACAAUAAAAACAUACAUUGAUUAAACAAUAGCUACAACUCUAUUCGUCCAAGUAAACACUUACACUUAAUUAUUUCAAACAACUAAAAAGAACACGAUACAAAAUAUGACACAACAACAUCAUAAAUACUGAACCCUCCAUUAAUGACAAUCCAAACUUUAGUAACUCAUCAAUCUUUCAAUGGCUGCAGUUUCUUGGGAAAUCCAUUCAUCCCAACACCCAUGAAGCUUUGCUUCUAAACCUAGGUCCUCUUGUUUGGUGGUGUAUUGCCAUAUUUCCAAGUGAAUUGCUUUAAACCUUCAGGAUAAGUACCCCCUGCAACCUCAUGGAUUGGGAUCGCAUCUGUAAUUUCUUUCAAAUCUUCUUUUGUCAGCUUUACUUUCACUGAUUCAAUGUUGCUGUCUAGAUUUUUAAUCUUGGUUGUUCCUGUAAGAAGUGAAAACAAUGUGUCAAAAGCUUUGGUUAUAUAUAUAAAUUGGCCUUUGGUACAGGAUUUUUCAGGCCAUUCUUAGUUACUGGAACUUGUAUCAGAGUGUCCAACACAGAUAUGUUCAUUUUCCUAAGGUUUUACAUAUAUCUGGAGGAAUAUGCUAGAAAAUUCUAUGCUAUUUCUGCAGGUUACUAACUUACUCCGACUGUUUUUUCUUCAAGUAUCCGUGUCUAAUACCCAACAUAUUUUGACAUGAGUAUUGAAUACAAUUCUCCAAAUAUAUGAAAAUUUUCAAAAAAAUAUAAGAGUUCACUUAUAUUGGAUCACCUCGGAAUUCAAGUUGAAAGUGAUUGAAUGGGACUUACCGGGAAUAGGAGAAACAUCAUCCCCUUGAUGAAGAACCCAGGCAAGUGCAAGUUGUGCCGGUGUACAUCCAUGCUUUCCAGCCAACUUCUCUACUUUCGAAUAUAGGAUCCUAUUUUGCUCCAAGUUUUCUCCUUGAAACCUUGGGAACACUCCCUUAAAAAAUAAAUGUUUGUAAUGAGUCAACCGAUCUGUUUUUUUUACAACUUAGAAGCAUGUUACUAUGUUAUCCGAAUUCUUUAUUUUCUUUAAUUACUCAUAUCCAACAUGUCUCUGACACAUAAUUGGAUAUAAGUAUGAGAGUAACAUCCUUCAAAUAAAUGAAAAUGAAACUUAAAAAAUGUUUUUUUUACAACUUAGAAGCAUGUUACUAUGUUAUCCGAAUUCUUUAUUUUCUUUAAUUACUCAUAUCCAACAUGUCUCUGACACAUAAUUGGAUAUAAGUAUGAGAGUAACAUCCUUCAAAUAAAUGAAAAUGAAACUUAAAAAAAACUGAAUAUAUUCAUGUCGCACACAUAUCUGUAUCCAACACUUACUCCUGAACCCAUAUAACAUAGAUUAAGUAUAGGUUAAAGCUAUAUAAAGUGAGUUUCCAUACCAGAGAACUAUUAGAGGUAUCCUCCUUCGCUUUACCGGCAAAGAAACCAUGACCAAGGGGACUAUAUGCAACAAUCCCAAUUCCGAGUUCCCUGCAUUGUUGAACACAUUUAGGCAGACAUAACCUCAGAGCAGUUGAAGGACUUAAAACAGUUGAUAACUUGAGAAAAGACAAUCAAUAAGUGAAUUUCAAUCUAUUUGAGCAAAAGGGUAUAUUUAUAUCCCUCCAAAUAUAUAAAAAAUUGAAUAUACCUAUAUUCGAAAAAAAAAAUUACGAUGAUUGAAGAUAGAAGAAUAAACCUGCAAAGGGGAAUUAGUUCUUCCUCAACAUCACGAGUCCAGAGCGACCACUCAAGUUGUACAGCAGUAAGAGGAUGAACAGCGUGUGCCCUCCUUAUAGUUUCGGGGCUAGCUUCAGAUAUGCCAAUGUACUUUAUUUUUCCCUCUUCCACCAACUUCUUCAGUUCUUCCAUCUAUCAUACAUGAAAUAAAUAUAAAUUAUGCUUAAUUUUCCCAUAAACAAAACAAAAUUGUAUUUGUGUUAAAGAAAGACAAAAUAGGGUUUUUAAUGCAGCAAUGCUUACGGUAUCUUCUAUAGGAGUCUUGCGGUCAACUCUGAUUAUAUAGUAAAGAUCAAUAUAAUCCACAUCAAGGCGUUGAAGGCUAGCCUCAAGUGAAGAACGAACAAAUUCAGGAGUGCCAUUGAUAACCGGACCAUCUGGACCCAUGCUUUCAACACCGAAUUUUGUAGCCAACUGUACCUUCUCUCGUGGCAGAUGCUUCAAUGCCUGCAAAAAAAGAAAUGAUGUUGAUUUCCCAGAUUCCUUUAACGAGCCAAGAACCAGAAUGAAAACAUUAAAUCAUAUCGAUUUGAUAAACUAAAAAAUUCCAUCUCUCACGCAUAUCUUCGAAUAUGUAAUAGACACAAGAGUGUGGGAAAUUGAGAACAUGAAAGAAUCGCUCUCAGUUUCAAUGUGAUUAAGCUUGAAGAGAUGACGAAAGGAUGUUACCUUUCCGACCAGAAUUUCGUUAGUUUUGGGUCCAUAGAAGUCGGCUGUAUCGAUGUGAGUGACUCCUCUUUCGACUGCAUGCUUAAUGAUGGCUAUGCCAUCUUCAGCUGACACUGAAUGAUCGUGACCUGUAAGACUCAUACACCCAAAUCCCAGCUUUGAAACCUGCAGCAACCAAAAAAUAAUAGAUUUUACCCCCCAAAAGAAAACGCCAUUUUCUUAACUAAUAUAAACUAGUAGGAAACAAAAUCUCAAACCUCAAAUCCUUGAGUUCCAAGUUUCACUCUAGGAAUCUCAAUUGCCAUCUUUUGUUUCCUUUUUCUUCUUCUUCUUCUUUGUGUGCUAUAAACAAAGGCUUCUCUGAUUACUGAACCUCUCAAAACUUACAUUAAAUAGAAAAUUUUGAGGUCUUUAUCCAGUAUCUUAUCUUGUUCUCAGCUUUGUUAACAUUCUUACGUCAUUAAGUAUGUCAUCCCAUAUGCCUCAAUUGAAUGAGUGGAUAAAGCUCUUUUUCAGACACGUUUGACACUGUUUAAAUUGGUUAAAUAUAUCAUUUGGUACCUAAGUUUGAUCUUUUUUCUAAUUUGAUAUUUGUGUUAUUUUAAGGUAAAUGACAAAAAUGGUCACUAAAUUGGGGUGAAAUUUCCUUUUUUGCCUCUAAACUAUGAAAAGUUACAUUUUUAUCACUAAAGUUAUUUACUUAUAACAUUUUUAUCACUCGUCUGUUAAUAGAAAAGUGAGGUGUGGUACAUUAAUUUAAGGAUUAAUAUCUAAUUUGAUCAUUAAACUAUAGUUAAGAUAUAAUUUGAUAUUUUUAUAACAUUUUUAAUAAGAAAAAAAUAAAAAAAUCCUAAAAAUUUAUUAUUUAUUUUUUGAAAUUAUGAAAAUAUUUUUAAAAAUUGUAAUUAUGUAAAAAAAUUAUAAAAAUUUUAUAACAAGCAAAACACGUAUUUUACAAAUUAAAAGAAAAAUACGUUUUUAUUGGUAUAGCAUAAAACCAUUUUGCAUAAUAUCUUGGAUAUAAUUAAAUCUGAUCAACUCGUCUGCUACUGUAGCUUUCAGUGCUGAAAAGCAAGCCAAGCCUUUUCCUUUGAGCAGCUACAGGGAAACCGACAAUGAUUGAACUAUUAGACCCAAGCUGCGUUACAGCCGCGCAGCUCUACGUAAAGUCAUGGUCACGUAGUGCAAAUACGUAUUUUGUUUAUUAUAUAAUUUAUAUUUUUUUUGUUUUAUUUUUUACAUGAUUAUAAUUUUAAAAAAUAUAAUUUCAAAUAAAUGAUGAAUUUUCAAAAUAAUUUAAGAUUUUUUUAUAUUUUUAGAAUUUUUAUUUUUUUGAAAUUAUUGUUAAAAAUGUUAUAAAAGUACUAAAUUGAAUGUUUAAGCUAUAAUUUAGGGAUCAAAUUGGAUAUUAAUCCUUGAAUUAGAGGCCAAAAUAUUAUAAGUUGAUAACUUUAGUGACUAAAAUAUAACUUUUCAUAGUCUAGUAAAAAAAAUCACCAAAGUUUAAUGAUCAUUUUUAUAGUUUACCCUUAUUUUUAUUCAAUAUGAUACAUAUGCUUGACAAGAAAAAAAAAUGUCAUCUCAUAUUUUUUUUUGUUUGAUAUAACAUUUCGUACUCAAGUUUGAAUUUUUUUUAAUGCCAAAUCUAUGUUAUUUUUAUCCAAUAUAAUACAUGCAUUUAAAAAAAAUUUAUAUAUUUUCGUAUCUAAAAAUAAAAAUAUUAAUUUUCUAGAUUCGGGUUUUAAUAUUAAUUUAGUGAAAAAUAACUUCUAAUAUUUAAUGUUUGAAUUUUUCAUGAUUUUCUUAAUAGAUUAAAUUUAGUAUUAUUUGUAAAUUUGUUUAGUUUUGCAUUAAAUUAUUUAAAUACAACUUGAUGGAUAUGAUUUAAUUCAAGUUUUAGGAUCGAUGUGAUGAAAUUUAAUUGCUAAUAUUAUCAGCCAAUUACGAAUUUUCAUCCAACUCUAAAAUUCGGAUUAAACAUUAAAAAGUUGGCAUCUUUAACUUCAGGUAUCAGUUCUGGAAUAAACACUAAAAAGUUACCAUUGUUAGCUUUUGGUAUCAAAAUAUAUAACUUUUGUCAAAUAUAAGUACCAUUUCUAUAUAGACUUCCUCGUCAAUUUCAUCAACAAUGCAAGCUUACAUUUAAUUUAUAGUCUUUUCAAGUACAGCAGUAGUCGGAUCUGAUUGGACAAUGACUCUAAUUUCCUCUAAAAAUCCUUCUUGAGUUUAGCUCGAUUAGUACGGAUCAUUUGGGACCAACUUAUUAAAUUAGAUCCCAUAGCCUUUAUUUUUUCCAGAAAGGUACCGUUGGAAAGGUCCCGUGACCUCUCUGACCUCACCUUGGCAGCUUUCCUCCAUAACUCGAGAGGCCUCCAUUCUGAAAUUCCUUGUAGAAUUGGAUAGUCCAGCUCGAGAAAUAAAAUCUUCAGUACAAAUAUUAAUGUGUAGUGAUCCAACUGGGGUAUACCAGGUGCUGGACUGAGUAGCGUGGAAAAAGAGACCACCAGUUCAAGUUCGCCACACAUUGGUCUAGUCUCCCACAAACGUUGGUUACCAUCGUUAAGCCUUUUUCCCAUGUGAACUAAGGACUAUUGCAAACUCUACCACCCUGUUAGAAAGUGCAACUUAUCAUUGAAUUUUGAGUACGAAGGACAAGAGGGAAACUAAAUACUAUUUGGUGCUGCAAAUCUCGGACAAAAUCAGUUCCCUUCUCCUGGUUGUCUACCACAGCCAAUUCCAGGUUAUCGCCAAGCUCUUGGUUUUUUGAAACAGAGAAUUCAUUAUUCUAUGAUAAAGCCAACUCAUGGUCAACAUAGUCAGGUUUUCAAUCAGUAGCUAACUUGUUAUCAUGUCUAUAAAUAUGACCAACAUCCCCUUCUUUCUCAUGAUAAUGCCAUAAACCUAGGAUGUGAUCAUAAGCCUGUCCUGUCCCAGUGUGUCUCAAGCUAUGGUUAUGGCCUAACACCAGUUGCUGGUUCUGCUUUUAUUCUAGAUUGUGGCUUUGUGCAUAGAUCAUGUCAUGAUUAGCCAUUGAAUAAAUUAAUCACAGUGUUAAUUCACAAUGCAUUCAACAAGCCUUAUUUAUCAGCAUUUAUUUACAAAACAAAAUCACAUUGCUUUCAUUCAUUUACAUAGUUCUAACAUUAAAUUCAUUUAAAAUAAACAAGAAGUUGAAGCCCAAAGAAUGAAUACCCAAUGGAAAGAACAGCUUUAGCAAGUCCAGGAAAAUCAGACAAUGCUGAAUAAGUGCCUGAAACAAAAGCUAUCACCGUUGCAGUAAUCCCAUAACUCGUUAACAACGAAGUAAUAUACGUAUAAAAUGCAUGGGCAUCGAGUUUUUCCACAAACGAUUUGCAGUAAUGGAGGAACAUCGAUGUGGACGAGAAGCAAAAGGCCAACGCAUUAGCUAUCACAAACACUCUAAAAGCCAAUUUUCUGCUUAAAAUCGCCAUUCCUUCCUCGGGGCCAUCGCUUUUGUACCCACCGGGCGUGGUGAAACCCGCGGCGAAUGAGAUGAUGGCGAUCAGUGUUGUCACCAGUAAGUUUAUGCUGGCGAUGGUAUGGAGUUGAUCGGAGCUUGGUUUCUUGAUCGCUGCAGGUUCGGGUCUUUUGUUGGGAAUAAGUUGUGGUUGGGUUUCAAUGGCGACAGGGGACCAUGUUGUUUGUGGUUGUUCUUGAUUUGCUGUUGUCGAUUCAGUAGAUCUUGUUUUUCUUCCGUCCUUGUUGAUUGCAUGCAUGUUCUAAGCUUUCUAGACCUCUAUUGCUUGCAACACUCAUUGUAAUCCAAGUCAGUAAGUAGCUCAAUUUGAGAUAAAUAUCCAAUUAUUUGAUCUUUAGAUUUGAUUAUGCUUGUUUACCUAAUAAAAAAUUUUCAAGGAUUAAAAACUCCUCAAAUUAAAUAAGUAGAAAUAUUUUUCAAUUUUAUUGUUGCUUUAUAAUUUUGGUUGAUAUAAUAACAAAUUAAGUCUUUGAUGUUUAUAUAUUAUGUUAAUUUGAUUUUGAUUCUGAAUAAAUUAUAUAAAAAAGAUGUAUUUAAAUAUAGAUAGACUGUGUAAACUGUAAGAUUAAAUUUACUAUUAUAUUAAUUAAAAUUUUAUAAAUUGAUGAUGAAUCAUUAAUUGGUUUUAGAUUAAAAUAUUCUAUUUUUUUUGAAAAUUAUGACCCGUUUGGUUAUAUCAAAAUUGAGAGGGAUAUGAAGGAUAUUUUUACUGAUUAAAUAUAAAGUAAAAUGACACUCAGGGAUCAAUUCCAUUUUUUUAUUUUUCACUUACUCUUGAAUAACAUGAUACUUCUUGUGCAAGAGUUAGUUCGCUCAAAAUAUUCUUCAACGAAAUUACUUGAGAAGUGCACACUGCAGCAACUAUGUAUUUUACUUCACAUGUUGAAAAGGCAUUAAAUUUUAAAAAAUAAAGGUAUUGGGAUUAAAUUGAAAAUGUAUAAAGAGUAUAAGCACUUAGAACAUGUUUUGACUUUUAAAUUUUAUUCCAUAAUUUGCUCCAAAAAUUAAUUUAUUCCAAUGCGAAGCGUGGCAAGAACUAUACUAUAAUGAGUAAAUCACAGGGAUAAGCACUUCAAAUUUUCAAGAAAUUUUACAAUACUUAAAUCAAAAACUCCUAACAUUCAUAAAUAAGAGGAUAAUAAAUACUUAAGUACACUCAAAUCCUUUUGACUGUUGCAACAGCAGUGGUGCCAAUUGAUUUGAAGCUAAAGCAAUAAUUUUUAUAAAUUAUUUAAAAUUAAUUGUAAAAAAUAUAAAAUAUAAACUUAUUUUUUUAUUUUAUUUUAAAUUUUAAUAUAUAAAUAAUUAAGCGGAUGUUAACUGAGGUAUGACAUUAUUUUUAUUAUAACAAUCAGGACAAUGUGAAUUUAAACGGAAUUUUGAAUCAAAUAGUAUUGAAAAGGGUUUUCAUCAUUAUUUCCAUUAAUAUUACAAUCAUACUACAAGCCAAGCAAGUGCAGUACACCCUAAGGCUCAAACAAACCUUCAAAUUCUAUGAAAUUUUUUAGGAUUUAUUACAAACCAAGCAAAUGGAAGCACACACUAAGGCUCAAACAAUGAGGUAAGCACACACUAAGGCUCAAACAAUGCCUCAAUUUAUUAUCAACUUUUUUGCAGAGCUGGUAAUGAUAAUCGUAUGCCCCGUGAUAAUAUCAAUAUAUUACCAAGAAGGCAGUGAAGCAGCAGCCAUGAAAGCGACAAACUAUUCGUAGUUAUAAACAGUACAACGCGAGUUCAGAUCAGGCUUCCACCAAUGGCGAAGUUUAUGAGGUGAAAUGCUUUCUUCGGGAGGACUGAGAUUCUCUAUAAGAUUUGCCGAAGGAAGCAACUGAAGCGGCUCCGAAAUUGCAACAUCCAUUAUUUUCAGUUCUUUGAUCACUAUAUUUCUUAGUGAAUGAUGGCUUAUUAGUCCCCAAACUCCAACGUCGUCGCUCUUUCUUCUCUUCUUGAAAUGUUCAAUAUCUCCUUGACAUGUGAAGUCUCUACUAUUCACAAACAAACAUGGGUUCCACCCUGAUAUUGCAGCAAAUGAAUCUUCAUCACCACUAUAUCCCAAAGCAAGGACAACGCCGCCUUUGAUAACAGUGAUUGUCAGUUGAAGUCCACGUAUCACAUUCUUGUUGUCUUUGAAGAUUGUCUCAAUUGGGAAAGAUGCAUAUGGCGGAUUAAACAAAAAACUUUACAAGAAUUUGCCUCUUUUCACCGUAUUCUUUCCAGCAAGCAUUGCGAUGGCUGCCCCUAGGGAAUGACCAGUUAACCAUACCUUUGAAGAACCAGCCUUUGACACCCUAUCUUCAACAUAUUUCAUGGCGGUCCGAACACGACUAGUUUGAUGAAGUGUAUAGGAUUAUUGCGAAAUCCGACUCAAGAUCCCUUUUCCAAGUUUCUCGUUUGAAUAGGGUACCUCGAAAGGCGAUCACGUAUCCAGGGCCUGGAUUAGUUGCCGAAGGAAACACAUAUUCAAGAAUGGCACCAAAGAUGCUUUCAUCAUCCUCAUGGACGAGCUCAUUCACUAACUUGAAGUUGAAAAACUCCCACCAUUGUGGCGCAAGUGUCUCAGAGCCUCCACGUAAUUCCACUUGUCGGUCACGUUCCCGCUCGGAAACACCCUUGACCAAGCUGGCUGAUAAGGAUCUUCGAUGGCUGUCGUCGUUCCUAUCAAUGGUGGUAAGGUUUUUGGGUCCCACAAGACUAAAAGGUUCUCUUCCACGAGACGUAUAUUAUAGCACUGGAAACUAUUGACGUGGGUACGAGGGCUUUGGGUGAUGUGGGUUUCAGGCUAUAUGGUGGUUAAAGCAGGUUGUGCAAUGGUGACUGUGGUCAGUGAUGUGACAGCGCUGGCGAAUGGACCCGCGGAGCUUGGUCUGGGAGCUCUUAAAUAGAAAAUCUUGAUUAUCCAGUAUCUUCUCUUGGUCUCAGCUUUGUCAACAUUCUUACGUCAUUAAGUAUGUCAUCCCAUAAUGAGUGGAUAAAGCUCUUUUUCAGACACGGUUUAAAUCAUAUGGUUAAAUAUAUAUUUAGUUUUUUUAGAAUUUAUAUUUGAGUUAUUUUAAGAUAAAUUAUAAAAAUGGUUAUUAAAUUGAGGUGAAUUUUUUUAUUAUCUCUGAAUUCUGAAAAGUUAUAUUUUUUUAUUAAAAUUAUCUACUUAUAAUAUUUCGAUCAUUCGUAUGUUAAUAAAAAAGUGAAAUUGUAUAUAUUAAUUUAAGGGUUAAUAUUUAAUUUCAUCAUUAAACGAAUUAAUGAAUGACAAUGACUAUAUUGGGCUAUAAGUAACUUGUUUUAGUAGUAUGUUAGUCAAUUCAAAUGAGAGAAAAGAAGAGAUCAAGAACUAUAUUAGAACAAUAAAAACAUACAUUGAUUAAACAAUAGCUACAACUCUAUUCGUCCAAGUAAACACGAUACAAAAUAUGACGCAACACCAUCAUCAACACUGAACCCUCCAUUAAUGACAAUCCAAAGCUUUAGUAUGUUUCUUGGGAAAUCCAUUCAUCCCAACACCCAUGAAACUUUGCUUCUAAACCUAGGCGCUCUUCUUUGGUGGUGUAUUGCCAUAUUUCCAAGUGAAUUGCUUUAAAUCAUCAGGAUAAGUACCCCCUGCAACCUCUUGGAUUGGGAUCGCAUCUGAAAUUUCUUUCAAAUCUUCUUUUGUCAGCUUUACUUUCACUGAUUCAAUGUUGCUGUCUAGAUUUUUAAUCUUGGUUGUUCCUGUAAGAAGUGAAAACAAUGUGUCAAAAGCUUUGGUUUUAAAUCUCAAUGCAAACUGGCCGUUGGUCCAGGAACUUGUAUCGGAGUGUCCAACACGGAUAUGUUCAUUUUCCUAAGGUUUUACAUAUAUCUGGAGGAAUAUGCUAGAAAAGUCUAUGCUAUUUCUGCAG
rnacentral:lncRNA from 1 species